rnacentral:lncRNA from 1 species
AUGGCAUACUCUGCAAAGACUUCUCACCUUCUUCUCUUUGUUUUCUUUCUCUCAUCACUUGAAUCCAUUCUUGCAACAACACGAGAGGGAGAAGCUCUUGUGAAAUGGAAGAAUAGCCUAGCCCCUUCUUCUUUUCUCGAUUCUUGGUCCCUCACCAAUCUCGAAAAUCUUUGUAACUGGACUGGCAUUACUUGUAACUCUGCAGGUUCAGUCUCUGAGAUUAACCUCUGUGAGAAACAACUUGAUGGAAUGCUGUCCGACUUCGGUUUCACUUCAUUUCCAAAUCUCAAGAAUCUCACCCUGGCAGACAACUUCUUCUCGGGUCCAAUACCACCAGCCAUUGAGAAUUUAACACAGCUUCAAUAUCUUGAUUUAAGCAUGAAUAGUCUCAAUGGUCCCAUUCCGUUCCAGGUUAGCCAUCUUCAGAGGUUGCUCAUAUUAAACCUGUCACAGAAUGCAUUGCAAGCUCCAAAUUGGUCCCAUUUCUCUCCCAUGCCUGUUUUGCGCUUCCUCAAGCUCAGUAGAAAUCCUCUUGUGUCGAAAUUCCCAAAUUUUAUAUCCAAUUCUCAUAGCCUGACUUAUCUCAACCUUUCACAUAACAAGUUUAGUGGUGAUCUUGUACGUGAAUCAGUAUUUACCAAUCUGCAUCAUCUUGAAGUCCUCAGUCUCGUUGACAAUUCUUUUGAGGGGCCAUUUCCGCCAAAUAUAUUCAAGCUUUCCAAAUUAAAACGUCUUGCCCUGUCAGGUAACAAAUUUUCAGGUCCAAUUCCCAAUGACAUAAGGUUGCUAUGUGAUCUUGAAUCCCUAUAUUUAGGCAACAAUUCCUUUGAAGGACCGCUUCCACCAAAUAUAUUCAAGCUUUCAAAAUUAAAACAUCUUGUUCUUUGGAGUAAUAAGUUUUCAGGUUCUGUUUCCAAUGAUAUAGGUUUGCUUUCUGAGCUUGAAAGCCUCGAUCUUAACUCUAAUUUUUUUAAGGGGCCGCUUCCGCCAAAUGUAUUCAAGCUCUCCAAACUAAGGUUUCUUUACCUCUGGGGUAAUAACUUUUCAGGUUCUGUUUCCAAUGAUAUAGGUUUGCUUUCUGAGCUUGAAACCCUCGAUCUUGAGUCUAAUUAUUUUGAGGGGCCGCUUCCGCCAAAUUUAUUCAAGCUCUCCAAACUAAAUUUUCUUUCCCUUCAGGAGAAUAACUUUUCAGGUUUUAUUUCCAAGGAUAUAGGUUUGCUUUUUGAACUUGAAACCCUCUAUCUUGGCUCUAAUUUUUUUGAGGGGCCGCUUCCCCCACAUGUAUUUAGGCUCUCCAAAUUAAGAGAUUUGGACCUCUCAGACAAUAGAAAUUUAUUUGAAGGAAGUAUUCCUAUUGGACUGGGACUCUUGACUAACCUCAGGUACUUAGAUCUAUAUUCCACUAAUCUCAGCGGCUAUAUUCCAUCUGACAUUGGAAACCUGAAGCUACUAGAAGUUCUUGUUAUCAGUUAUAAUCAAUUGAGUGGACAGCUUUCAAAGAUCAUUUCUAAUCUCACAAAUCUUAUAAUGCUUGAUGUAAGUGAUAAUAGUCUUAGUGGAAAUAUUCAGAGUGACUUGUGGAUACAUCCAACUUUGGAAUUCAUCGCUAUGGGUGGGAACCAUUUUACGGGUAUAGUUUUUCUCUAUAGAUCUUUUCCUUUUGUCUUAUUUAACUAAGCUAGUAAUCUGGUUAUUGCAGUUUUACCAAAGUUUCAACAAUCUUGACAGGUGAACUUCCAAACUGUUUGGGGAAUCUUGCUGAUGGAUUGCGUGUCAUUAAUCUUGCUAGUAAUCAGUUUCGAGGAACAGUACCAACUACUUUCUCCAGGAGUUGUCAGCUGACAUAUCUAAACAUGGAUAAUAAUGAGUUUGAAGGAUUGUUGCCCCCAUCUUUGGCGAAUUGUGAGCACUUGAAAAUUCUUGAUAUUGGCAAUAAUGAAAUAGGUGGUACAUUUCCGUCAUGGCUUUAUGCACUUGGAGAUCUAGAAGUCCUUGUCUUGAAAUCAAAUAAACUCUAUGGUACAAUAAGUGGAAGGAGCAGUGAAGAUCCCUUCCCCAAGUUGCGGAUUGUGGAUCUGUCCAACAAUCAAUUCACUGGUCAUUUGCCAAUUCAAUACUUUAAGAAUAUGAAAUCAACUGAUAAUUUGUAUAGCUAUCAGCAUUCCACAGGAGUUUUUUCUUUCCUUUAUGAAGCAGCAGUGUCGUUAACUUUGAAGGGAACAGAGUAUGAAGUAGCAAAGAACCUUCAUAUUUACACAGCCAUUGAUCUGUCGUGCAAUAAAUUUCAGGGAGAAAUUCCAAAGGUUACUGGAGAGCUUAGAUGGCUUGCAUUGCUCAAUUUAUCGCAUAAUAGUCUGACAGGACCUAUCCCAUCGUUGCUGAGAAAUAUGAAAGAACUCCAAUCUUUAGAUUUGUCCUCAAAUCAACUGACAGGGGUCAUUCCACCUCAGUUAACUGCAUUGACAUUUCUAGAGGUCUUAAACUUCUCGAAAAACCAUCUCAGUGGAGAGAUUCCUCAGAAAGGACAGUUCAGCACAUUCAAUAAUGAUUCUUAUCUUGGAAACUCUGCGUUAUGUGGAUCACCUUUGACGAAGAAAUGUGUAAACACUGUAUCACCUCCACAGGAAGUCGGAAAUGGUGAUGAAGAUGAUGCGGGUGAUGAAUUGACAUGGGAAGCAAUCGUGAUGGGAUAUGGAUGUGGACUGAUAUGUGGAUUGUCAUCUGCGUACAUUGUUCUCAAACUAGGAAGGCCUUGGUGGUUUGUGAGAUAUAUCGAAGUACUGCAACUGAAGUUGAUGAAAAGAUAUGCAUGAAGAAAGGUACUGGUCGAUCAAGACGAAUUUGAAAGUUGUUGUCCUUGUGGACAUUUCUGAACCUGUAGUGUACUAGCUGCAUAAGUAUUUGGUAUUAUGUAAUAAUCCGUUUGGUCGGGACUCAUAAUGAUUUCUCUUGCUUCAGGGGUAUUUAUAUUAACCUUGGUAUUGUGUCCUAGCUGUAAUAUACUGUUUGGUCGGGACUCAUAAUCAUAUUUCUUGCUGGGUAUUAAUAUUAACCUUGUUAUCUUGAUCUAUGUUAAUGCAAAUUAAAGUGAAUGAAAAAACAAAAAAAUAUGCAUCAAAUCCGCUGUUUGAAACAAUUCAAUAAUAAACUCGAGUUUUCCAGGACCAAAUCCACAUAUUCAAUAUCACACUCUUCCUGUGAGGAAACAAAUAUGGAGAAACAUUUCUGUUUACAAAACUUUUACCAUUAUACACUCUUAUAGUACUGGUUAAGAGUUCCUAAACUAAAAUUAUCAGUUCUAUGUGAGUAUGCUUUCAAAUAAGAAUUCGUUGUUCCGCCUAGUCCAAAACUACUCUAAAACUAUAUCGCUGGUAGUCUUUCAGUUCAUCCUACUGUAUGCAAUAGUUUCAUACAUAGGUAACUCGGCCUUGUGUGGACUUCCUUUGACAAAAAAGGGUUAAUAGGCUAAAACAUAAUCGAACUGACCCAAAACUUGCAACAAAUAGGAAGGCCUUGGUGGUUUGUGAGAUACAUCGAAGUGCUGCAACUUAAGUUGAUGUUAUGAAGAACUAAAAAUAUUGUUCCGUCAAGACCAACAACUUGAAAAUGUGUUCUGAAUCUGUAAUAAUAUUAAAAUAUUAUAAUAUAAUUCAUUUAACACUAUCAUCCGAUCAAUUUAAUUUAUUAUCAUUUAGUCAAUAUAUAUAGAUGGAUAUGAAUUGUCUUCCCUCGAACUUUGAGUUGUCAUAGUCCUUAAACAUAUUAAACACUUUGAAAAUUUGUUUCUGCAAGUCUAAAUUGUAGACAACACUUUCAAAGUUAGUUGCCGAAUAGACUCAUUUUGAAAAAAUUGGUUAGAUUCCGGAUAAAUUCAUUAAUCAGAAUUAAAUAUUUCAUGACCCUAACUCAAUCUGUUGUAAAUUGAUGUUGAGUUCAGGUAACACUGGCAGGUAUAAGGCAUAUAAAUAGCAGUCUCAUUAAUUGUGAAGGGAACAGAGUAUGAAGUAAGAAAUAACCUUCAUAUUUACACAGCCAUUGAUCUGUCGUGCAACAAAUGUCUGGGAGAAAUUCCAAAGGUUACUGGAGAGAGCUUAGAUGGCUUGCGAUUGCUCAAUUUAUCUCAUAAUAGUCUUUUUUUGAAAAAAGAAAAUAAUUCAAUAAUGAAAAAUCAUACUAAAUCCACAGAUAUAAUCGAAAUUGAACAAACGCAGAAUCAUAUCACCAUUGAAUCCUUCAGAGACGGCGGCUACUUCAAGGUGAGAGAAAUUUAGGGUUUUGCUUCUUAUCUCUAAAAUAGUUAAUUGAAGAGUCAUCUCAUAAUAGUCUUUGAAGUAUUACUAGGGAAAAUAUAUCUUCAUAAUGAAAAAUAAUUAUCAUUUUAAAAAAAAUUCACGAUAGAGGGGCCAUUUGGAUGAGUUUAAAUAAGUGCUUUUGGUAAAAUUUAAGUUCUUUAAUUUCCAAUUGUUUUAGAAGUUUAAUUAGUAAUUAAUAACAUGUGUACGGUUGGAGUUUUUUUGAGUCUAGCGGUGAUAGUUGUUUGAAAAACUGAUAUACAAGUCUAACAAAGUUUAAGUUAAAUAACUUUAAUUCAUAACUAUUUUGUUACCAAUCUACCAUUUCUUGUGUUUGGGUCUUUUUAAUAUAUGUUGCUACUUUAUGGGUAAUAUCUUUAUCUUCGAAGGAGUUUGUGUUUGUCACUUUGUCAUAACAAUGUCACUACCAUCUCUUUCAUUUUGUAAAAAUCUUAUAUAUAGUGAAUGAUAGCUUGAACUCCUUAUUUAUUUCAAUUAUGAAACAUGAUAUAGAUUUUAUAGAGUUAUUUUACAAAUUAAAUUGUUUGACUUCUUAGUAAAGGAUGUCAAUAAUGUUCAACCUAGUACGUAAUAUGUGUAAUCCGAAAUGAUAUUGUUGUCUGUUCUUUCUACUUUAUGGAUUAUAUCGCUGAUACCAGUAAUUUUAUGCUUCACUGCAUGAUGCAGCUCUCAUGUUAUUAACAGCUAAACUCGUGCCAACACUUUGCGAUGCAAAAUAGUGGCACAAAAGUAUUUUCAUAUGUGUAUUUAUUCGGAAAAUACGUGUAUUUAUUCGGAUAUUAAAGUUAGUAUGGACAUUUGUGUUGAUAAUUUGAGCCCUCUUCUCUUCCAAGUCUUGGGCGGACUCUUUCCAAGUCUCCUGAGGACCCAUAGGCUCAAAUUAGUCCAUUAAAAUUUAUGAUCUGAAAGCUCUCUGCGCACUAAUUUCUCCGCCAAACGAAAAAUCAACAUUUCAUGUACUAACUAUUUCCAUAAUAAUUAACAAGUAUAAAUCAUAUAUAUUUUUCCAUAGAACAUAAAUAGAUGGGGUACUAACAAAACCUCUAGUCAAAUUAAUUAAUACCGUUAUGAUUUCGCAAACACAGCAGACAGCAGGCGUAAGGCUAGCUUAUAAAUAGAAGUGUAGUAUUGGGUUGAUGGUCAAGUUGAGUGGAAGUAUGGCACACUUUGUAAAGCCUUGUUAUCCUCUUCUCUUUGUUUUCUUUCUCUCAUUACUUCAAUCCAUUCUAACAACACAAGAGGGAGAAGCUCUUUUGAAAUGGAAGAAUAGCCUAGCCCCUUCUUCUUUUCUCGACUCUUGGUCCCUCACCAAUCUCGAUAAUCUUUGUAACUGGACUGGCAUUACCUGUAACUCUGCAGGUUCAGUCUCUAAGAUUAACCUUUUUGAGAAACAACUUGAUGGAAUGUUGUCCGAGUUUGGUUACACUUCAUUUCCAAAUCUCAACAAUCUCACCCUCGCAUACAACUUCUUCUCGGGUCCAAUACCACCAGCCAUUGAGAAUUUAACACAGCUUCAGUAUCUGGAUUUUAGCAAUAAUUAUCUAGAUGGUCCCAUUCCGUUCCAGGUUAGUCAUCUUCAGAGCUUGCUCAUCUUAAACCUGUCACAAAAUGCAUUGCAAGCUCCAAAUUGGUCCCAUUUCUCUCCCAUGCCUUUUUUGCGCAUCCUCAACCUCAGUCACAAUCCUCUUUCGUCGAAAUUCCCAAAUUUUAUAUCCAAUUCUCAUAGCCUGACUCACCUUAGCCUUAAUUAUAACGAGUUUACUGGUGAUUUAGUAAGUGAAUCAAUAUUUGCCAAUCUGCAUAAUCUUCAAGUCCUCAGUCUUGUUGGCAAUUCUUUUGAGGGGUCAUUUCCGCCAGAUAUAUUCAAGCUUUCCAAAUUAAAACAUCUUAGCCUGUCACGUAACAAAUUCUCAGGUUCAAUUCCCAAUGACAUAAGGUUGCUUUGUGAUCUUGAAUACCUAUAUUUAGGCAACAAUUCCUUUGAAGGACCGCUUCCACCAAAUAUAUUCAAGCUUUCAAAAUUAAAACAUCUUUUUCUUUGGGGUAAUAAGUUUUCAGGUUCUGUUUCCAAUGAUAUAGGUUUGCUUUCUGAGCUUGAAACCCUCGAUCUUCGCUCUAAUUUUUUUGAGGGGACACUUCCGCCAAAUUUAUUCAAGCUCUCCAAACUAAAGAUUCUUUCCCUUUAUGAGAACAACUUUUCAGGUUUUAUUUCUAAGGAUAUAGGUUUGCUUUCUGAGCUUGAAAGCCUCGAUCUUGGCUCUAAUUUUUUUGAGGGGCCGCUUCCCCCACAUAUAUUUAGGCUCUCCAAAUUAAGAGAUCUGGGUCUCUCAGACAAUAGAAAUUUAUUUGAAGGAAGUAUUCCUAUUGGACUGGGACUCUUGACUAACCUCAUGUUCUUAGAUCUAUAUUCCAGUAAUCUCAGUGGCUAUAUUCCAUCUGAAAUUGGAAACCUGAAGCUACUAGUACUUCUUGAUCUCCGUUCUAAUCAAUUUACUGGACCGCUUUCAAAGAUCAUUUCUAAUCUCACAAAUCUUAUAUUUCUUGAUGUAAGUUAUAAUAGUCUUAGUGGAAAUAUUCAGAGUGACUUGUGGAUAUAUAACGAUCAUCCAACUUUGGAAUUCAUCAAUUUAGGUGGGAACCAUUUUACAGGUAUGUUUUCUCUAUAUAUCUUUUCCUUUGGUCAUAUUAACUAAGCUUGUAACCAAAGUUUCAACAAUCUUGACAGGUGAGCUUCCAACAACAAUUUGCAAUGUCACUUCCCUUUCGGUUCUUGAUUUGUCAAAUAAUGAAUUAAGUGGUGCACUUCCAAACUGUUUGGGGAAUCUUGCUGAUGGAUUGCUUUUCAUUAAUCUUGCUAAUAAUCAGUUUCGAGGAACAGUACCAACUACUUUCUCCAGGAGUUGUCAGCUGACAUAUCUAAACAUGGAUAAUAAUGAGUUUGAAGGAUUGUUGCCCCCGUCUUUGGAAAACUGUAAGCACUUGAGAAUUCUUGAUAUGGGCAACAAUAAAAUAGGUGGUACAUUUCCGUCAUGGCUUUAUGUACUUGGAGAGCUAGAAGUCCUUGUCUUGCGAUCAAAUAAACUCUAUGGUACAAUAAGUGCAAGGAGCAUAGAAGAUCCCUUCCCCAAGUUGCGGAUUGUGGAUCUAUCCAAUAAUCAAUUCACGGGCCAUUUGCCAAUUCAAUACUUUAAGAAUAUGAAAUCAACUGAUAAUUUGUAUAGUUAUGAGAAUGACAGAGGAAUAUAUUAUGCAUAUGAUGAAGCAGCAGUCCCAUUAACUGUGAAGGGAACAGAGUAUGAAGUAAGAAAUAAUCUUCAUAUUUACACAAUCAUUGAUCUGUCCUGCAACAAAUUUCUGGGAGAAAUUCCAAAGGUUACUGGAGAGCUUAUAUGGCUUGCAUUGCUCAACUUAUCUCAUAAUAGUCUAACAGGACCUAUCCCAUCAUUGCUGAGAAAUAUGAAAGAACUCCAAUCUUUAGAUUUGUCUUCAAAUCAACUGACAGGGGCUAUUCCACCUCAGUUAACUGCAUUGACAUAUCUAGAGGUCUUGAACCUCUCGGGAAACCAUCUUAGUGGAGAGAUUCCUCAGAAAGGACAGUUCAGCACAUUCAACAAUGAUUCUUAUCUAGGAAACUCCGCGUUAUGUGGAUCACCAUUGACGAAGAAAUGUGCAAACACAGCAUCACCUCCACAAGAAGUCGGAAAUGUUGAUGAAGAUGAUGCGGGUGAUGAAUUGACAUGGGAAGCAAUCUUGAUGGGAUAUGGAUGUGGACUAAUAUGUGGAUUGUCAUCCGCGUACAUUGUUCUCAAACUAGGAAAGCCUUGGUGGUUUGUGAGAUAUAUCGAAGUGCUGCAACUGAAGUUGAUGAAAAGAUAUGCAUGAAGAAUGGUACUGGCCAAUCAAGACCAACUUGAAAGUUGUUGGACAUUUCUGAACCAGUAGUGUACUAUUCUCUUUGUGGCUGCAUAAGUUUUUGGUAUUGUGUAAUAUUCUGUUUGGUCUUGAAUUUCAGGGGUAUUAAUAUAAACCUUGGUAUUGUGUAAUAUUCUGUUUGAUCAAUGUUUAUAUCAAUAAUUUUAUGCUACUCACGUACUGCAUCAUGCAGCUCUCAUAUUAUCUUCAUAUGUGUAUUAUUUGGAUAUCAAAGUUGCAGGGACAUAUGGAUAUGUGUUAACAGGGACCGCUCCCAAGUAGGGGUGAGCAAAAUCGAACCGGAACCGAAAAAUCGAACCGAACUGCGUAAAUUCAGUUCGGUUCGGUCCUAAUUUUCUGAAAAUUCGAUCCAUUCGGUCAGGACCGAAUACACCGAAAUAAAGUUCGGUCCGGUUCGAUCCGUAAAAAAAUAUUUCGGUCCGGACCGAAUAGACCGAACAGUCCAAAAUAUAUAUAAUUUAUAUUUAUAUUUAUAUUAUAUAUAUCUUAAAUGUUAUAAUUAUAAUAUCUAAUUUGUAAAUUUAAUUAUGAAAAAUGAUAUAAAAUUAUGUGUUAUAUCUUAUAUAUAUAUAUAGAGGGUUACUCCAGUGAGAACUUCUUAAAAUGAGAACCGUGAGAACUUCUUUAAUUUAUCAUAUUUUGAUUAAUCUAAACAUCAAACUAGUGGGUAUCCAAUAUAAAAAGUGUAUAUAAAACUAGUCUCUCCCUAACUAGUCAAAAAAAAAAUUCAAAAAAAAAUUUUAAAAAAAGAAAGUCCACUGCCACGUCAUCAGUGAUUUUUUUUAUUUUUUUUUUAAUUUUUUUUUUCGGCUAGCUAGGUGGAGAUCUUAAUUAUAUACAUUUUUUGUGAAGGUGCCCCUGGCGGGGCCCUUCAUAUAUGUACUUUUCAUAAAUUAUAAAUUAUUGUUUUAAAUAUAUCGAAAUGAUUUCUAUAGAAAUUUAAAUUGUAUGUUUAAAUAAUUUUUUUGAGUGACUUAUGAGUUAUAAAAAGGAUGAUAAUAAAAAUAAAUUUGAUAUGUUAUUUAUACGAGUAAUGAAAUUGAUUUUUGUUAAAAUUUAUAAUGAUGGAAUAAGUUAUUCAGAAAAAUAAAUCUUAUUUAUUUAGAGAUGACAUAUUUUAAUUUUAGAUCAAUUUUUUUCUCACUAAAAAAUUAUUUUAAAAUCAAAAAUAAAUUAAAUGUCUUCGCAUUUAUGCAAACAUGCUCUAAAUUAUGCGCAAUAUUAGCAAUCAGUGACUGAUACACGUGCUGAACCUUCCGAAGAUUUCUGGUCAAAAAUAUCCGUGACCCUUUGAGGAAUACAGGAAUAAUCACACAGCUGGCUUACCAUCUGCACCCAAUUAAUACGGACAACAGUACAUUUAUUAGACUAGAUUUUCAAAAUUUUCAAUAAUAGUAUUAUAUUAUUAUCGGUUUUUCUAGUGAAUGCUCAUGGGCACACACUAAACACCAAAUUUUAUAAAUUUGGUGGUUUUUGAUUGACUCAUGCUUGUUUAUAAUGGUAGAGCCUCCUCAAAUUCACCGACCACACCAAUUAAAAUCCACCAAAAUUAUAGAAUUUGGUACUUAGCAUGUGCUCAUGGCACACACUACAUAAACCCUAUUAUUAUACCUAUUUGAAUUUUUAAAUGAGGGCAUAUAGAAUUUAGAUAUUUAUUUAAAAUUUGUAGUUCGAUUUAGGACCUUAAAUGAAUAUAUUUGAAAUCUCCAAACUUGUAUUAAUAUUUACUUGUGUUUGACUAUAAUAAAAGUUUAUAUUAUAUAUAUAUUAGAUACCUAACACUCCAUGGCAUACGCUCUUAUAUGAAGUUUCAUAGUAUAUCACUGUGCAUAAUAUAUCUAUUAUAUUUUUUAUGAAAUAGAAUUACAAAUUUUUAUUAUUAAAUCGAAAACGAAGUUAUAUAAUUUUUUUAUUCCAAAAGUCAUAUAAAAUUAUCUCAACAUGAUUUUAUAACAGAAUAAUAAUCAUCCAGAAUUAUUUUAAUGUGGAAUCAAUACGUAAAUAAACUUUUUUCUUCAAAUUUUAAGUGUUAAAUUACUUAUAAUAGAUAUAUGUUAUAGUAUUAUAUAUUAGAAUCAUGUUUUAUAUGUAUUCUAUAAUAGAAUUUGUACUAAAUUUGAUGAUUUAUAAUGGUGUACUAUGUAAAUCCAUAUAAUAACUACCUCCGUCCAAUGUUAACCUAUAUACAUAUAUAGGAAUAGGAUCAAAUAAUAUUUUUAAGUUACAAAGUUACAAACUUUUUUUUUGAAUUUUUUUAUUCUCCUAUCGUGUUUAAUCCUUAGUUAUAGAAGUAUCCAUGUUGAAAAUUAUUGAAAAAAUCACAAUUUUUAAAAAUAACGCAUAAAUAAAUCGUGCAUUUAACACAUCUAUAACUGUGGUUCAACAUCGGGUGUAGAACACUAAUUAUCAUUGUAUUGAAUAUAACCAUAAAUAUAUUUAAACUAUGUCUUUGGAGUUUGGGUAGGGUCUAGAAAUAUAAAUAUUAGUUAUAUAAUACGUUUAACUUAGUUCUUAUACUGAAAAAUUAGUUUUUGUAUUUCUCCAACACAAUCGAUGUUUAACAAAAUAUGUUAAAAAAUGUUGAACUCAAAUUAUAUAUAUGAUGAACGCAUAAAAUUUGUAAGUUUGUAAGACUCUUCAAUUAUUUAGGUUUUGGUUGCAUAGGAAGAUAGAAUGAGAAAAGGUUUCACAUUCAAUAUUUUAAAUAACGGUUUUUCUCGUGAGUGCCCAUGAGCACAUGUUAAGCACUGAGAUUCAUAAGUUUGGGUGAUUUUGAUUGGCUACUACUUCUUUAUAAUGGUGGAUCCCCCUACAAAUUCACCAACCACACCAAUCAAAAUCUACCAAACUUAUAAAAUUUGGUGUUUAAGAUGACGUUUGAAUGAGUUUAAAAUUAUGACUUUAUUUAAGAUGAUUUAGGAAACGUUUGAGUGAGGUUAAAAUAAGUGUUUCUUGAUUAAGGUAAAAAAAUGAAAUAGAAGUUAAAAACAAGUUAAGACUUAUAAGUGAUUAAAGUGUUUAGAAAAGAGGUAAAAGCUAGAAUUUGUAACUUUUAAAAAGUGUUUUUGUAUUUUUACACAAACAGGUCAAGAAAAACAGAAGCAAGACUUCUUAGAACGAAAGCACUUCUUUUGCUUGGCCAAACAAGCACUUAAUAUAAUAAUAUGUAAGUUAAAACUAAUUUGUGAUUAAAAAAAAAUAAAACAAUCUGCGAGUUAAAACUGACUGAUUGAAAAUUUUUGACUUAUUAAUAAUUUAUGAGUUGUUAAAAAUAUAAUAAUGAAAAUAAAAGUGAUUUAUGGAUAAUUUAUAACUUAUGAGUAACUGCUAUUAAAAAAAUUAAUUUUCAAAAUUUGUUGACAUAUUUGAUAAUUUUCUAUCAGUUAUGUUUUGUACUUAAUUCUGUUUUUAGAAAUAACAAUUUCAUGAAAACGACCAAUCAGACAGGCACUUGCCAAACUUCUGGUGACCAUAAUUCUUAUCUUAUCAUAUAGUAGUAUUUUAAAAUUAUUCGGAAAUAGAUAAAUUUAAUUGUUUGUAGUUGACAGGAAUAACACAGUUCAAGUCGCAUCAAAGAAAGAAAAGAAUUAAAUGCAUUUCAUUUCGAAUCACUUGUCGGCAUUCUUUUCUUCUGGUAUGCAAAUAAUUUAAUUUACUUUUCACAAAUAAAUAUAAAAACAAAUGCGCACCUACUUAUUAGCGGCCUGCACUGUAGAGUUCAACCGUACUGCAAAGUGGUCCAAGUUUGUUUGUUUAAAUCGUAAAUAUGUUAAAAUUAUGGGGCCAAACUGGUCUAGUCACUUAAUAAAUUAAAAUUAAAAUUUUAAAAAUAAAUAAAAUUUAUGAAUUUCGAUACUAUAAGUACUAAUUCAGUUUUAAUAUAAAAUAAAUUGUAAAAUUAACGUAUCAAGAUUUAAUUAUUUUCUUUCUCAAGAUAUUUGGUAAAAUCUUGGAUUCAUGUUUUCACCGAAAAAGCUCCGCUGAAAAGUACGGUUACAAUAUGAAUAUAUCUCGAUAUUUUAAACUUCAUUUCACUUAAUCUAAAAAUAAUAAUUAUAAGAAAAUUUAAUUAUUGAAUCCUUAACACAAAGUUUAACUACCGAAAAAAAGGCUUAUUAUAAAGGCGUUCUAUUUGGGAGGAAUCUUGUCAUUUUAAAGGCCCAACGCAAUAACCGUAACCAGGCCUUAACUAAGCCCAGUUGUAAUACCUUUAUAUUCUUAGUAGCAAGCAGUGUUGUAAAAAGCGGGAAUCGGACAUCGGUGAAGUUACGGAACAAGGAUUAAUCGAGGAUUAAUUGAAUUGAUCAGGGAUUAAUCGGAUUGAUCGGUGAUUAAUCGGAGAUUUAAUCAGUUCGGCGAGCUACGAAACAAGGAUUAAUCAGUGAUUAAUCGUGAUUAAUCACCGAAUUUUGGAACAGAGGUAGCAAGUAGCAAAUACUUGGCGGGUUUUGAAAUAUUAGUUUUAUUAAAAAAUUAUACUAAAAAAACCCUAUAAACAAUUGAGAUACCACCACGGAAACAACCCAUUGGUCAAAGGCCACCGGUCCACCAGUCCGGAGAUCUUCUUCCAACUGUGUUUAACCAAACAAACCAAUGCUUAAUUAAAUGCCGUUCACACGUUAAUAAAUUAUUAUGAUGCUGAGUCUAUGAUAUUACUGGCAUGAAAACACAGUUUCGUUUUAGAUAAUAUGAGUAUGAUAAUAUUUAUAUAUUGUGUGUGAUCAUAUUCUUUAAAGUAUGAAUUCUAUUUUUUUAAUUCUUUAAUAAAAUAUGUGGAUAUGAAAUGUAAUAUUUGUAACCUAAUUAACAUUAAAUAAUAAUAAAAUAUUGAUAAAUAAAAUAACAAUAAAUUUAAUACUAAUAUCAAAAUCAAUCCAGUUAUUGUACAUAUUACAAGAAUAAAACUUUUUAACUCCAUCAUCAAAAUACAUAAUAAUAAUGUGUAUUUAAAUAUUUAUUGUUAAAUAUAAUCAGUAUUGAACAGAUUAUCUAUAAACAAAUAAAAAAAAUUAAGGUUACAUUAGUUUUAAAUUUUAGAUUUUGAAUAUAAUAGUAAGUCAAUUGUCACAUUUCUAAAUUACACAUAUAAUAGAGCAUAACAGUUAAACAAACUUAUUAUUCUACUAUUUGAUCAAUGGUCAAUUGACCAACUAACUGGAAUAACUAUAGUAAUAAUAAUUGAAUUAUUAGAUUUCAGUCAAUGUACUUAUAAUCUUAUGUUAAGUUGUUUCAUACAGUCGGUUGUUUUAAUAACUAGAUUUGCUAAGAAAACAGAUCAAAGGGGAGCUGUAUGAUUAAGGUCAACUAAUCCAAAUGAUUAAACAUCAUUUCCGGUCUAUAACUUGUCUAAUCCUUAAGACCAAAUCUGGCUUUGAGUUUGUGUAGAUAGACUCUGAAGUUCCUGCAAGAAAUCUGAGAAAUCUGGUCAUGCUGACCCAAGAUUUUCAUUUACGUCAUAUUAAAAACUUUUUAAUAUUCUUAAAUUAUUCUCCUAUAAACAGUGUUGUAAAAAGCGGGAAUCGGACUUAAUCGGUAAAGUCACGGAACAAGGAUUAAUCGGGGAUUAAUUGAAUUGAUCGGUGAUUAAUCGGAGAUUUAAUCAGUUCGGCGAACUACGCAACAGAGAUUAAUCGGUGAUUAAUCGUGAUUAAUCAGCGAUUUUUAGAACAGAGCCUAUAAACAGAAGUGUGCAUUGUAGUUUAAACGCAGUAUCUAGCAUCAAUUUUCAUGUUAAGUGCAAGCAUGACAUACUUUAAAAACCCCUGUUAUCACCUUCUAUCUGUUGUAUUUUUUCUCCUGCUAUUUCCAUCGAUCCCCGCGACAAGAGAAGAAGGAGAAGCUCUAGUGAACUGGAAGAACAGCCUAUCCCCGUCCUCGUUCUUCGAAUCUUGGUCCUCAGCCAAUCUCAACAAUCUUUGUAACUGGACUGGCAUUACCUGCAACUCCGAGGCCUCAGUAUCUGAAAUCAACCUUUCGGAAAAACAACUCCAAGGAACGCUUGCUGAGUUCCGCUUCAAUUUGUUACCAAGUCUAAAAACUUUUACCAUCAGCCGUAACAACUUCACUGGUCCAAUUCCAUCAGAUAUUGGAAAUUCAACUGAGCUUCAAUACGUCGAUUUUAGCUUUAAUUUUCUCAAUGGUUCUAUACCAUAUCAGGUUAGUCAUCUUCAGAGGUUGCGCGCCUUAGACCUGUCAUAUAAUCUCCUGGAAUCUCCAAAUUGGUCCGAGUUUUCGCCCAUUCCUUCCUUGACUAAACUUUAUCUCAGAUCAAAUAAUCUUGCCUCCAAAUUUCCAGGAUUUAUAUCCAGUUGUCAGAGCCUGACAUAUCUUGAUCUUUCACAUAACUUCAUAACAGGCGAUCUCGCGCAAGAAUCAUUAUUUGACAAACUGAUACAUCUUGAAUCCUUCUCUAUUCGUAAUAAUUCUAUUGAGGGGCCGUUUCCACCAAGUAUAUUUCCUCUUUCCAAAUUACGAUUUCUUGACCUAUCAAGAAAUAACUUUUCAGGUUCUAUUCCCCGGAAUAUAGGAUUGCUUCGUGAUCUUGAAUAUCUCAGCUUAUUUUUUAAUUCAUUCGAAGGAAGCAUACCUUCAUCUAUUGGUCUACUUAGGAAGCUUCAAUUACUAGAUAUCGGAUAUAAUUAUUUAAAUUCCUGUAUUCCUCGUGAAAUCGGGCUUUUGACUAAUCUCAGCGAAUUAUAUCUCAAUGUCAAUAGUCUUACUGGCAAAAUUCCUUCUGAGCUCGGCCUCUUGACUAAGCUCAACUAUAUAAUUCUUUUUUCCAAUAAUCUGACCGGAGAUAUUCCAUCUGAAAUCGGAAACCUGAAGCUACUGACUCGGCUUCUCCUCGGGUCUAAUCAUUUGACUGGAUCGGUUGCAAACUCCAUUUCUAAUCUCAGUAAUCUAGAGUUUCUUGGUCUACCUAAUAACAGAUUUUCUGGAAAUAUUCCUAGUGACUUCUGGAAAAAAUAUAAAUCGUUAUUAUACAUCGACUCCAGGAACAACAAUUUGUCAGGAAGCAUUCAGGGAUUUGAUGCUAAUCUGAAUCUUACUUUCAUUAAUCUGAGCGGAAACCAUCUUACAGGUAUACUUUUUCACCUUAUUUUACUCCCUCCACUUUGAAAUAUACUUCGUUUGACUUUUUGGCACACGUUUCCAAGUCCUUUGACCUUAUUAUUAAGAUAAUUAUUUUUAAAGUAUUAUAUUUUUGAAUUAUUAUAUGGUCGUGUCAAAAAAUCAAACUACAUGUAUUUCAAAACAGAGGGAGUACUUUAUUUGAACGCUAAUGAAUCGGUUAGAAAUUGACUAAAGUUUCUACAUUUUAACAGGUGAGAUUCCUGCAACUAUUUGCAAUGUCACAUCCCUUGAGAUUCUUGAUCUCUCGGACAAUGGAUUAAGCGGUGCACUUCCACGUUGUCUGGGAAAGCUUGCUGAUAAUCUGCAUACCAUGGUUCUUGGUAAUAAUCAGCUUCAAGGGACAAUACCAGCAACCUUCACCAAGAGCUGUCACCUAGCAGUUUUAAACACGGAAAGCAAUCACUUUGAAGGAACGCUGCCCCAAGCUUUAUCAAACUGCAAGGACUUAAAAAUUCUUAAUAUGGGAAACAACCACAUUGGAGGUAUAUUUCCGUCAUGGCUAAGUACUCUUGCACAGCUAGAAGUCCUUGUCUUUCGAUCAAAUAGACUUCACGGUGAAGUAAGUAUAGGUAAUACAACACGUCCCUUCCUUAAGUUGCGAAUUGUGGAUCUCUCUAACAAUGAAUUCACUGGCCAUUUGCCUAUUCAGUAUUUUUAUAAUAUGAGGCCGAGUAAUAAGGGAUAUGAUUAUGUCAUUACAAAAGAGAAUUUCGAGUACUUUUACCAAGCAUCAGUCUCACUAAGUGUAAAAGGGACAGAGUAUGAAGUGAAACAAAUCCUUUAUAUUUACACAGCCAUUGAUCUGUCGCGCAACAAAUUUCAAGGGGAAAUUCCAGAGGUCACUGGAGAGCUUAGAUCGCUUGCGUUGCUAAAUCUAUCUCAUAAUAGUCUUACAGGGCCUAUCCCGUCAUUGUUGGGGAAUAUGGAAGCACUCCAGUCUUUAGAUUUGUCAUCAAACCAAUUGACAGGUGCUAUACCUGAGCAGUUAACUACUUUGACAUUUAUUGGGGCCUUGAACCUUUCAGAAAACCAUCUUACUGGAGAAAUCCCUCAAAAAGGACAGUUCAGUACUUUUGGCAACGAUUCAUACUUGGGUAACCCGGCCUUAUGCGGACUUCCUUUAACAAAGAAAUGUAGGCACACGUUGCCACCAACACAAGAAAUCCUAAAUGGUGAUGAAGAUGAUGCUAAUGAUGAACUCAGUUGGGAGGUGAUCCUGAUAGGGUAUGCAUGUGGAUUGAUAUGCGGAUUAUCUUUUGGGUACAUUGUUUUCACCAUGGGAAAGCCUUGGUGGUUUGUGAGAUACGUCGAAGAACUGCAACAGAAGUUGAUGAGGACACACAUGAAGAAAAUUAUUCGAUCAAGAAGCACAACUUGAUAAAAUGUUGUCUUGGGAUAACCUGAUUUCUGAAUUAGUAGACUAUUAUGCACAUAUAUGUAGUUCAUUAUUAUAUUAUUUUAUGCCAAUUGCAGAGUAGUCUGGUUCUCAUAACAAAUUUAGUCUUGUUUCACUGUUUAUUAAAACUACAUGCCAUGUUUCUGUAGGAGUGAAUACAAUUAUGUUAACUUAAGCAUGACAGGCAGGAACCGAUCUGCAGAAAUGACGUUAAUUGAUACAAUUGGAACCUGCAAGUUAUAUGCAGAAAGCACGCGGUGCCUCCCAAAUUCCAGAGACCUACAACUUCACAUAAAUGUCGUUCACAGCACUUAAUGAUCACUUGUUUGUAGUAACUAACACGUCUUCCGUCUACAAUGUAAAUGAUAGUGGAAGGUACUGAUUUCCACUUUCUUAGCAACACACUAACAACAGUGACGGAUCUAGAACUUUGAAAUUUCAUUGUUUUUUUUGGUUGAACAAGUAACUUACUAGAAUUUAAUUUAAUCAUAGCUACCAUAUGAAAAUCAAUAAUAUUGUUGACUCCUCUGCUUAACUAUGACUCCUGUGCAUGCCAAUCUCCAAAUACACAAAAAUGUUAUUUACUAAGAGAAGUUUGUUGAUAGCUAAAGGAUAUAGUCUCCGGGAAAAAAAUCCACUGACCAACUUAAUACACAGCUCAGCAGUUUAUGAGCAAGGGUCUGAGUCUUGGCUACCUGGAAAUGAAUUGAAAAAAUAGAAGUUAAUGCAUAGUUUUCUUGAAGUGUGAAGACUUGUUUUGUGAGUUGGUCCUCCAUAUUAGAAAUUAAAGUUUUUUUCAACAAAAAUCCGGUGGAACAUAUCAUUUUCCACUAUACCUUUUAUUUUCAGUUUCUUGCCAUCGAAGAGCACUAAUUCCAUCGGCAGUGAUUUGGAAGAACAGGUCUCUUGCCACUCCAAUUCCUAAGAAAAUUUAGCACAUAAAUAGAAGUGUGCCUUGCACUAUGAGAUGUACAAUGUGACAGGAAACAUGUUGCACUUCCCAAAGCCUAAUUAUCACCUCAUUGUGCUUGUUUUCUUUCUACUAUUGCUUCCAUCUACCCUCACAACAGUAUCUACGACAAGAGAAGGAGAAGCUCUGUUAAAAUGGAAGAACAGUCUACCACCAUCCUCUUCCCUAAAUUCUUGGUCACCCGUCAAUCUCAAUAAUUUGUGUAACUGGACUGGCAUUAUCUGUAACUCUGCAGGUUCAGUCUCAGAAAUAAACCUUUCACUAAAACAACUUAGUGGAACGCUUGCCAAUUUCAGUUUCACUUCAUUUCCAAAUCUUAAUAGUCUUGACAUUAGUGGCAACAACUUCACAGGUCCAAUACUACCUGCCAUUGAAAAGUUCACGCAGCUUCAGCAUCUUGAUUUUAGCUUUAACAAGCUCAAUGGUAUCAUUCCAAACCAAAUUUGGCAUCUUCAGAGAUUGCGCACCUUAGACCUGUCAGUUAAUCACUUGGAAGCUUCAGACUGGUCUAGUUCUUUCUCCAUGCCUUUUCUGACCAACCUCGACCUUAGUUUCAAUAAACUUGGGGCAAAAUUCCCAGGCGUUACAUCCAAUUUUUGUAACCUAACAUAUCAAUUAUUUCCUGAGUCAUUAGUUAACAAUCUGCAUAAUCUGGAAGUCCUUUCUCUUCAUCACAAUUCUCUCGAUGGGCCAUUUCCACCAAGCAUAUUCAAGCUUUCCAAAUUAAGAUAUCUCUCCCUAUCAAGUAAUCAUUUUUCAGGUUCUAUUCCGGAUGAUAUAGGGAUGCUUGGUGAUCUUGAAUCCCUUUAUCUGGGUCACAAUUCUUUUGAGGGGCCCUUCCCACCAAUUUUUUUCAAAUUUUCCAAACUAAUAAAUCUGUCCUUAUCAGGGAAUAUUUUUUCAGGUUCUGUUCCAGGUGAUAUAAGGAUGCUUAGUGAUCUGGAAUACCUUGAUCUUAGUCGGAAUUUUUUUGAGGGGCCUUUUCCACCAAAUAUAUUCAAGCUUUCCAAAUUAAAAGUUCUUGACCUAUCAAGAAACAAUUUUUCAGGUUCUAUUUCAGAUGAUAUACGGAUGCUUCAUAGACUUGAGUUGCUCCAUCUCGAGUACAACUCUUUUCAGGGACCCUUUCCACCAAAUAUAUUGAAGCUUCCGAAUUUAAGAGUACUUGACCUAGCAGACAAUGACUUUUCAGGUUUUAUUCCCAGUGAUGUAAACAUGCUUCAUGAUCUGAAAAUACUUUCAUUGUUUUCUAAUUCAUUUGAAGGAAGUAUUCCUUCUUCUAUAAGUCUACUCAGGGAGCUACGAUACCUUCACCUCGGGUCUAAUUAUCUCAAUUCCACUAUUCCUUUUGAGCUGGGGCUCUUGACAAACCUUGACCGAUUAUAUCUUGAUUCCAAUAAUCUUACUGGCAAUAUCCCACCUGACAUAGGAAACUUGAAACUACUGAGAGUACCAAGUCUUGAUUCUAAUCAACUCACUGGACCGCUUCCAAAGACCAUUUCUAAUCUCACUAAACUAGGGUUUCUUAACCUGAAAGAUAAUAAGUUUUCCGGCAAUAUCCCAAGUGACUUCUGGAAAACUUCUACAUCCUUAUAUUCCAUUGAUUUUUCCGACAACAACUUGUCUGGAAACAUUCCCAAGGAAUUUGAUGUUCACCCAAUUUUGGAAUGCAUCAAUUUAAGUGGAAACCAUUUUACAGGUCUGUUCUUUUCCUUAUUUUUCCUUUUUGUCUACAACUAUGCAGGUAAUCAGAUUAGUGAAUAUUGACUGAAGCUCCUCUGUUUAUACCAGGUAUGAUUCCCACAACAAUUUGCAACGCCACAUCCCUUCGGGUUCUUGUUCUGUCAAAUAAUGGAUUAAGUGGCACACUUCCAAAUUGUUUGCGAAAUCUUGCUGAUAAACUGCUUUCUAUUGAUCUUGGUAAUAAUCAAUUUCAAGGAAGAAUGCCAACCUUCUCCGAGGGAUGUCAGCUGACAUAUCUGAACAUGUACAACAAUUACUUUGACGGAGUGUUGCCUCAAUCUUUUGCUAACUGCAAGCAGUUAAAAGUUCUUGAUAUAGAAAACAACAAAAUAAGUGGUACAUUUCCCUCAUGGCUAUUUACUCUUGCAGAGCUAGAACUCCUUGUCUUGCGGUCGAAUAGACUUUAUGGUACAGUAAGUUUAAGAAGCACAACAGAUCCCUUUCCCAAGUUGCGCAUCAUGGAUCUCUCAAACAAUGACUUCACAGGCUAUUUGCCAAUUCAAUAUUUCAAAAAUAUGAAGCCGGUUGAUAAGGGGUAUGAUUAUCAUAAUUUCACAGCACCAUUUUAUUACUACUAUCAAGCAUCUAUCUCGUUAACUGUGAAAGGGACUGAGUACCAAGUGAGCAAGAUUCUUCAUAUUUACACAGCCAUUGAUCUGUCAUGCAACAAAUUUCAAGGAGAAGUCCCAAAGGUUAUCGGAGAACUUAAAUGGCUUGCAUUGCUCAACUUAUCUCAUAAUAGUCUUACCGGACCUAUCCCAUCACAGCUCGGAAAUAUGAAAGCACUCCAAUCUCUGGAUUUGUCUUCAAAUCAAUUCACAGGGGCUAUCCCAUACCCGUUAAUUGGUUUGACAUUUCUAGAGGUCCUGAACCUCUCAUAUAACCAUCUCACCGGAGAAAUUCCCCAAAAAGGACAACUGAGCACGUUCACUAAUGAUUCUUACCUAGGUAAUCUUGCCUUGUGUGGAUCUCCUUUAACAGAGAAAUGUGCACACGAAGAGUCACCACCACAAGAAGUCGGAUAUGAUGAAGAUGGUGCAGAUAAUAAAUUCCAAUGGAAAGUAGUCCUAAUGGGAUAUGUUAUCGGAUUAGUAUGUGGAUUGUCUUCAGGUUACAUUUUUCUCACAACUGGAAAGCCUUGGUGGUUUUUGAGAUACAUCGAACAACUGCAGCAAAAGUUGAUCAGAAGAAUCACGUAGAGUACUGUUUGAUUAAGAUGAGCAACUUGAAAAGAAUGUUUACUAGACCAGUGGUAUGUCGGGAACAUUAAUGUGUGGUGUCAUAUAAUAUUUGAAAUGCUAAUGUCAGCACUAGUUCUAGUUCGGGCCUGAUACCAGGGGCGGAUCUAGGAAGAGGCACGCGGGGACACGUGUCCCCCCUAAAUUUUCUUUUUACAUUUUUUCACCAUUAUAAAGUUUACAAAAUUAUAAAAGUGCCCCCAAAGAAUUUAAAAAUAUAUAGGUAUUUUCCGAAAAUUUGCUUCGUGCCCCCUAACAUUUGUGGGCUAGAUCCGCCCCUGCCUGAUACUGAUUUACUCGUCUCAGAGCUACAUAUUUCGUUCAAUGUUAAUGCAAAAGGAAAAAAACAUACUACACACUAAAUCAACUUUGUAUCAAGUCGAGUUUUGGAGAUGCCAUUAUCAAAAGAAAAACACGGUGAAUGAUAUUUAUUAAGAACACGACUUGAACCAUAAGUGCAUGAAAAUCGUCUUUCAAAGUAUGGCAGGGGGGUGAAUCGUGCACACCAUGGAUAGUCACCUGAAAGCUAACCAUUCUGAGGUUCGUGGAAGCUGAUUUCAUACUCUUNCUGAAAGCUAACCAUUCUGAGGUUCGUGGAAGCUGAUUUCAUACUCUUGAAAGCUAUCUUUAGGAGGUCGAAACUUUAAUUUGUGUUACAUAACAUUUCAUUAUGCAAGACGGAUGGUUUCAGGGAAACUGUACUAGAGAGCAAGUACCAAAUAGUAAGGUAAACUUUCGAUGAUGAAAUUCCUCCCUGAUUUUUACAUCAUUCCAUGUUUUAGACUUGACAGAACAAUCGGGCGAAUGUUCUGGUCAAUUUUUUCAUGGUUGGGCCAAAAGAAUUAUAGUACAAAUGGGUGAGAAAGUGAGAAAGUUAAUUUUAGCGAUCGCUUUUCAUUAUUUAUAAUGACGAUCAAUUUUAUCUGAUUACUUUUAAUUUUAUCUUUUAUGCUUAUUUUUUUUUUUUUGUAUGGUCUACAUAAUCGUAGAUGAAUUGUAUCGAAAUACAAUAAACCGCAACCGAGAUUUCUUUCUUUCAAGAAAGUUUAUUAUCUAACCGAAAGCCAUGCAAUCAUAACUCCGGACGUUUAGACAAUAAAAUUUAAAUGAAUGAGAAAAGAAUACCCAUACAGCUCGCUUCCACAGUAUCCUGAGAAAAAACAAUCAAACAAAAUAUAAAUUAAUAUACAAGAAAAUCUAAUAAAAACAAAAACAAAAGAGUUUAUAUAUAAAAAAAAUAGAGAGGAAAUAUAUAUAUAUAUAUAUAUAGGGUCAAGUUCGAGAUAGAACCACAUUAUACUUAGAACUUAGACCCUAUAAAUUACCAUUAGAUAUAAAUAGGAUGUGUGGUUAAGAUUAUCAUUGGUAUUAAUCACAUGUUAUAUAUUUAGGUGACAUUUAUAUGUAUGCACAUUUAAUAAAUGAGAGUUAAUAACCAGAUUUAUUACUUUCCAUGAUUAAUACAAAUCUCAAUUAAAUUUUAUGUAUAUAAAUCAGUAUAACAAAAUUAAAUAUAUCAAAUAUUUUGUUUUCAUACAUAACAAAUUUGUGUGAUUUAAUUCUAUAUGUGUAAAUGUAUAACAAAUUUACGUGAUACUGUUGCAGCACUUGUACUAAUAUAAAAGAUGGUGUUAUAAUGCAAUAUUUUUCUAAAAAGAUGGAAAUACUGCUAUAGUACAUCAAAUAUCAUACUUAUAUUAUUUAAUAAUUAUACCGAUACUAUUGCAAUACAUAGUUUUUUUUAAAAAAAAAUAAAUAUAAAAGUACUGCUAUAGUACAUCAAAUACUAAUAUAAAAGAUGGUGUUAUAAUGCAAUAUUUUUCUAAAAAAUAGAAAAUACUGCUAUAGUAUGUCAAAUANNNNNNNNNNNNNNNNNNNNNNNNNNNNNNNNNNNNNNNNNNNNNNNNNNNNNNNNNNNNNNNNNNNNNNNNNNNNNNNNNNNNNNNNNNNNNNNNNNNNNNNNNNNNNNNNNNNNNNNNNNNNNNNNNNNNNNNNNNNNNNNNNNNNNNNNNNNNNNNNNNNNNNNNNNNNNNNNNNNNNNNNNNNNNNNACUAAAUAUUCAUAAAUAAUAUUUAUUCAAUCACAAUUUAAAACGUAACCAAUACAAUUAAAAUUAAUAAAGAUAAAUAAUGAACAGCCAAUAAGAGAGAUCCCGUAAUUAAAGUCAGUCCAAAUUAAAAUUCAAUUAUUGCCUAAAAAUCAAACAAUCAUGAUAAAUUAUGAAUUCAUAAAAUUUAAAAUUUAAACCUUAAGAAGAUAAAUAAAGACCAUCAUAAAUGUUAUUAAAUAUUCAUAAAGAAUAUUUAUCAAGAUAUAUUCCUUUCCAAAAUUAACCGAAAAAAUUGAAUACUUGCAUUUUAAAAAAUUUGCACAUAAAUAUACAAACAAAUAUAAUAUAUAAAAGCAACGCCAUAAUUCAAAAUAAAUUGAUAUCGAAACACUCAACAAUAUUACAUGCACCUAAAAACAUGUUAAAAAACUAAAAAGAUUAAUCUAGAAGAUCAAAUCACACACUUAACAAACACAUACAAUCAAGAAUACCUAUCGAAAAUCUAUAUCGAGAAUCUAUAACAGACCUAAUUUCAAAUCGAUAUUCCGGUCAACCAUCACAAAUCCGGCUAAGAUAAAACAUGUCAGAAAAAGGGGGAAAAAUGGAUACAUAACUCGACUUGAUCUACAAAACUAAUCAAACAAAAUUCUAAAACAGAUACGAAUCCAUGAUUUCAAUCAACUCAAAAUUCUAUACACCUUAAAAUUAGAAGAGGAAAAGCAUAAAAUGAUUUCUAUGAUAUAGAUAUGUUAUCGUAAUUCAUAAGUUAUACAAAACAUAAAGAACAAGCAAAGAACACAUAACAAGCAUUUAUUUUGGAUCAUAACAAUAUAAUCAAAAGAAGAUGAAAGAAGCGUACCUUUUCAAAGAGACGGAGAUAUUUUGAAAAACUAUAAAAUUGAGAGAAUAAACAUACCGAAUCCGAAAAUAAAAUCCAUAAAUUGUCACGAGCAAAAUCAUCUUUUGAUCCAUCAAAAUCUUUUAAAUAUUACAUCACCUUGUUUUCUUUGGUCGCUCGGUACCUUCUUUCUUAUCUUUUAUGCUUAUUAAAAACACAGAAGAUCGUGUAAACAAAAUUAAUACAAAACGUACUUAUUCAUAGAAUAUGAUUUACUUCACUUAACUGCGCUUAAUUAUUUGAAAGGAAAGAAUACAACACAAAAUUAAAUAUAUAAGAUCUGUUAAUUUUGGAAAUGAGAAUUUUUUUAACAUAAUCAUUGAUAACAUAUUUUUCCAACUUAUUUAUAUCUGCCAGAAUUAAAUAAAAUAUGCCUCAAUAGGUUAUCAUUCUUAAUGUGAAACUGCAAAAUUAUAUAUAUUUUCAUUUAUGCCAUAUUCUUAGACAAAAAUUAAAAACAAAAUAAUGAUCCUGAUCAGCUUUAAAGGGUGUAAAACAAGUGUAAAAUAAGUAAAGUAAUUUAACUUUCACUUAUAUUAUUAAGACAAAAGUAAGCGGAAAUAAACAUAAUUUCAAUAGAUUUAACUUACUCUCCAGAAUCGAUAAGUUUGGAACACGUUGAUUGAGCACAAGACGAAGGCCACACAUGCGCAUCGUCUGAUGCAGCUAUGGUGCCUUUACAGUUGCUCAUACAUAUAGUGAAACAAUAAGGAUCAACUCCUCCAUUGUGCGUACACAUUUUCUAUCCUUAUUUUCAUACAAUAAGGAUAGAGUCUUUGCAAUCUCGUCAUGACCAGCUAUACAUCCGAUCAUGAUAAACUCUAGCAGGAUCAUCCAAGUAAUAAUUUUCAUAAUGAUAUUAAUUAUCAUUGUGAAUAGUUGCAUUGAGUUAUGUAUGUGUGUGUAUAUAUAUGCAAUGGAUUUUGUGGUUGAGAAUAUCUAUUAGAUUUUGUAUAUCCAUAACAAUUAUUAAAAUUUGAACAAUAAUAUCCAUUAUUGGUUGUGGUUGACUAUUGUAGUAGUCCAAGAAGUCUAUGCAAGUGAAAUCUAUAUUAUAUUUAAAAAGAUUAUACAUGAAAUACAAAAGGUUUUUUUAGGACUGCUGUUAAAAAUUGUUAUGUUGUACGAAAAAAUGCUGAUAAAAAAAGUGUUAUACGAAAAUUUAAAUGCUGAUAAAAAAAAUGUUGUAGAAAUCAGACAUGACAGCUUCCCACAAAAGCUGAAAAAACAAUUUUCCGUAAUAAUAUGGGAGGAGAAAAACUGUUUAUAGAUUUAUAGAACAAUUUUUCACAUAUUUUUUGAUAAAAAGCUGUUGUUGUCUUCAAGCUGAGUAAUGCCAAACAGUUCCGAAAUCAUUUUGCAGGUAGUUAAUCUCACUUCCAUAUAAUAUACUCCUAUAUAUUACCGAAAAAACAUGAAAUGAUGCAAAUCUCAUACUAUUGACAACAGGUAAACUCCUUGCAAUACUUUGAGCUGCAAAAUCCAUCAAAUUUGUUGAUAUAUCAAUGUAACUGUUUGACAGAGUACUUCCAAGCUAAGUAUCAAAAAUCACUACCUUACGAAAUAUAUCUCACCCUACCUUCUCUGCUUAACUGUUUCGAGUACUUUUACCAAGCAUAUUUUCCAUUAAGGUGAAAGGCACAGAAUAAUUAAGGAUCACCUAUCCCAUCAGUGCCGGGGAAUAUGGAACCAUCUUAUCAGUUAACUAGUUUAACAUUUCUCGCGGUCUUGAACCUCUCAGAAAACCAUCUUAUACUCAUGUGCGGACUUCCUUUGACGAAGAAAUGGUGAUGCUGAUGCUAAUGAUAAUGAACUCAACUGGGGAGUGAUCCUUAUGGGAUACGGAUGUGGAUUGAUAUGCGGAUUUUCUUUGGGGUUUAUAUUUUGUGGUUUGUGAGAUACAUUGAAGUACUGCAGCUGGAGUUGAUCAUUAUAAAGAACAUAGGCAAGUUAAUCGCUUAUUGAAAUUAGUAAUUGUCAAAAGUAAAAUGUUGAAAUUACUUUUUCCGAAUGAAAUCAUCGGCAAAAAGUCUCUGUCGAAUUUGAUCUGCCAAAAUUAUGUUUAAUAUCUACGGCCAAGAUUAUCUGUCGAAAAUAUUUCCCGACAAUUUUAAAAGACAAAUUUGUCGCGUCUCAGUUGUGAGCAGGAAUAGAUAUUUUCGACAGAAUUCCACUGAAAUUAGCUAAUUUCAACAUAAAUUUUCUAUCGAAAUUACUCGGGUUUUUUGUAGCGUAUCUGAUAGCCUUUGGGGACUGGGGUAUAUUGUUUUCACAAAGCCCUGGUGAUUUGUGAGAUGCAUCGAAGGACCGCAACUGAAGUCGAUAAGAACAUGCAGAAAGAAAACUGAUCCAUCUUGAUAAACUUGAAAAAUGUUGUCAUAUGGUGAUAUAUACUCCCUGGCCCCAGUCUCUUGGAAAGAACUUAGUUGAUUUUUUUUUUUCAGUAUCCAUCCCUAAUAGUUGCAGCAAAUUAAAAAAUAUAGUUAUAUCUUUUUAGCAAUGGUGCAAUUUGGAAAGCUUUCUCAUCAUCUUCUUCUUUUCUUUAUCUCAUUACUCUCAUUUAAUUCCACUGUCCUGCAACAAUUCGCCAAGGAGAAGCUCUAGUUGAAUGGAAGAACAGCCUAUCCCUGAAUUCGUUUCUUGGUUCUUGGUCACUAAUUAAUCUCACUUAUCUUUGUAAUUAAGUGGACUGGCAUUGUAUGCAACUCUCUGCAGGUUCAGUCAGUCAGAUUAAUCUUCAAGAACUCACAGGAACACUUGCUAACCUCGGUUUCUUUUCGUUUUCAAAUCUCACCAAUAUCAACAUUACACAUAACAACUUCACUGGUCCAAUACCACCCGAGAUUGGAAAUUUACGACGGAACAAUGUGUCAUAAGUUUCAGUUUUCCUCCAAAACUUACGACGGAUGUUCAUACAUAACUUCUGUCGCAAGUUCAACUUUUUUCAAAAGGAAAACCAGGACCCACAACAGACAUGCGAUAGAAACUUCCGUCGUAAGGUAGUUAACAUACGACGGACCGAGCAUCGUAAGAUAAAAUUUAUCCAGACAAGGAUCUGGGCCCCACAACAUACUUGCGACGGAAAGUUCCGUCGUAAAUUCUGUAACUUACGACGGUUUUAAUACUUACGACGCAUGUUUGGAAUUGUGAUGUAUUUUGCAACUUUCGACUUGACAAAAAAUGACGGAAAAAGUCCGUCGUAAAGUAAGAACUACUUCCAUCGUAAAAACCCAGUUUUGUUGUAGUGUCUGCAGGUUCAGUCAGUCAGAUUAAUCUUCAAGAACUCACAGGAACACUGGCUAACCUCGGUUUCUUUUCGUUUUUCUAAUCUCACCAAUCUCAACAUUACACAUAACAACUUCACUGGUCCAAUACCACCCGAGAUUGGAAAUUUAACAGACGUUCAGUACCUCGACUUUAGCUAUAAUAAUCUCAAUGGUAAUGGUACCCUUUCAUACCAGGUUAGCCACCUUCAGAGGUUGGUCGUCUUACGGCUGUCAUUUAAUCACCGAAAGCUCCGAGUUUGUCCAAUUUUUCCCCCAUACCUAAACUGGUUGGUCUCGGUCUUAGUGGUAAUAAGCUGGCGUCAAAUUUUCCAGAAUUCAUAUCUAAUUGCUAUAACAUAAUUAAUCUUGAUCUUUUAUUUAACGUGUUAACUGGCCUGGUGAUCCAAUGCCUGAAUCAGCAGAUGACAAUUUACGUAAUCUUGAAGAACUGUAUCUUGGUGCCAAUUCUUUCGAGGGGCCAUUUCCAACGAAUAUAUUCAAGCUUUCCAAAUUAAGGGUUCUUGACCUAUCUAUGAAUAAUUUUUCAGGUUCAAUUCCUGAUGGUAUAGGGAUGCUUCCUGAUCUUUGAAUAAUUCGUUUAUAUAAUUCAUUUGAAGGAAUUAUUCCUUCUUCAAUUAGUCUACUUAAGGAUCUUCAACACCUAGACUUCAGUGACAACCUUCUAGUUUCAAGUAUAAUGUCUUACGGGUCCAAUUUAACCGAUCAUUAUAGGCAACCCCAUUAGAGAUGCUCUUAAUAACAUUUUAACUAGAGAAUAUCUUACUUUCAGUUGCAUUUGUAUUAAAUCUGAUUUAGAUGAAGAGAAACAGAAUACAUAUGAUCCUGAGACAACAUUUUGUCAAUGUUUUCGUCUUGAUUAAACAGUCUUCUUCAUGCGUGUCCUUGUCAACUUCAGUUGCGGUAAUUCAAUGUAUCUCACGAACCACCUUGGCUUUCCCAUUUUGAAAACAAGUAUCCUGAAGAUAAUCCGCAUAUCAAUCCACAUCCGUAGCUCAGUUGAUUUAUUAAUUUAUUCAUGAAGUGGCGAACGACAUUCCUGCAAAAGUAAAAGUCAGUGGAAUUUGUAUGAUAGCAUGAUCCAUGAUGAAUAUUUAAAGUUUCAGCUAGAAUUUCACCAAGUAAUUUAUUUCUUGCUUAAGUCCCGGAUUGACGAAUUUUGCUGAUCACAUUUCUAAUCGACCAAUUCUGGUCGAAUAAAUUAAAUGGCACACUUCCUGAGUUGGUGGUGGGGGCGUUCUUCUUGUGUUUCUUUCUUUUCAUUAUUGACAUUGUUAUCCAGGUCCUUGCUUCUGGGCUUUUGUAAAGCACCCAUUUACUCCAUUGUCAUGAUCAUAGCUAGUCUUCCAUAUCCAAGAUACGCGCAUUAUAGUGGAUUUAUCUUUAUUAGUGAUUUCUGUGGAAAUGCAUAAUCUUUAUAAGCUCCAAUAUUAUAAAAUAAACCUAACUUAUUAGAGUUAACAGGGCAUUUGUGUUGAUAAUUUGCGCAAUGUUAUGGGGAUCGCUCCCAAGUCUUGGACGGACUCUUUCCAAGUCUUCUGAGGACCCAUCUGCACACUAAUUUGUCCGCCAACUAAAAAUUUAUAUAUAUUUUUCCAUAGAAUAUAAAUAGUUGGGGGUACUAACAGAACCUCUAGUAAAAUUAAUUAAUACCGUUAUGAUUUCGCAAACACAGCAGACAGCAGGCAUAAGGCUUAUAAAUAGAAGUGUCGUAUUUGGUUGAUGGUCAAGUUGAGUGGAAAUAUGGCACACUUUGUAAUGCCUUGUUAUCCUCUUCUCUUUGUUUUCUUUCUCUCAUUACUUCAAUCCAUUCUAACAACACAAGAGGGAGAAGCUCUUGUGAAAUGGAAGAAUAGCCUAGCCCCUUCUUCUUUUCUCGACUCUUGGUCACUCACCAAUCUCGAUAAUCUUUGCAACUGGACUGGCAUUACUUGUAACUCUGCAGGUUCAGUCUCUCUGAUUAACCUCUGUGAGAAACAACUUGAUGGAAUGCUGUCUGAGUUUGGUUUCACUUCAUUUCCAAAUCUCAACAAUCUCACCCUCGCAGUUAACAACUUCUCCGGUCCAAUACCAGCAGCCAUUGAGAAUUUAACAGAGCUUCGGUAUCUUGAUUUGAGCAAUAAUUAUCUAGAUGGUCCCAUUCCUUUCCAGGUUAGCCAUCUUCAGAGGUUGCUCAUCUUAAAUCUGUCACGGAAUGCAUUGCAAGCUCUAAAUUGGUCCAAUUUCUCUCCCAUGCCUUUUUUGCGCAUCCUCAAGCUCAGUAGAAAUCAUCUUGCGUCGAAAUUCCCAAAUUUUAUAUCCAAUUCUCAUAGCCUGACUCACCUUGACCUUUCAUAUAACAUGUUUACCGGUGAUCUAGCAUGUGAACCAAUAUUUGCCAACCUGCAUAAGCUUGAAGUGCUUAGUCUCGUUGACAAUUCUUUUGAGGGGCCAUUUCCGCCAAAUAUAUUCAAGCUUUCCAAAUUAAAACGUCUUGCCCUGUCAGGUAACAAAUUUUCAGGUCCAAUUCCCAAUGACAUAAGGUUGCUUUGUGAUCUUGAAUCCCUAUAUUUAGGUAACAAUUCCUUUGAAGGACCGCUUCCACCAAAUAUAUUCAAGCUUUCAAAAUUAAAAGAUCUUGUUCUUUGGCGUAAUAAGUUUUCAGGUUAUAUUCCCAAUAGUAUAAAUUUGCUUUCGGCGCUUGAAGCCCUCGAUCUUUAUUCUAAUUUUUUUGAGGGGCCGCUUCCACCAAAUAUAUUCAAGCUCUCAAAACUAAGGAUUCUUUCCCUUGGGAACAAUAACUUUUCAGGUUCUGUCUCUAAUAAUAUAGGUUUGCUUCCUGAGCUUGAAACCCUAUAUCUUGACUCUAAUUUGUUUGAGGGGCCGCUUCCCCCACAUAUAUUCAAGCUCUCUAAAUUAAGAUAUCUAGACCUCUCAAACAAUAGAAAUUUAUUUGAAAUUAGAAGUAUUCCUAUUGGAUUGGGACUCUUGACUAACCUCAACUAUUUAGAUCUACAUUGCAGUAAUCUCAGUGGCGAUAUUUCAUCUGCCAUUGGAAACCUGAAGCUACUAGUAUUUCUUGAUCUCAGUUUUAAUCAAUUGACCGGACCGCUUUCAAAGAUCGUUUCUAAUCUCACAAAUCUUAUAUAUCUUGAUGUAAGUCAUAAUAGUCUUAGUGGAAAUAUUAGUGACUUGUGGAAAUAUUAUCUGUCUGGGAACAUUCCUAAGGAAUAUAACGAUCAUCCAACUUUGGAAUACAUCAAUUUAAGUGGGAACCAUUUUACAGGUAUGUUUUCUCUAUAUAUCUUUUCCUUUUGUCAUAUUAACUAAGCUUGUAAUCUUUUUGUAGUUAUACCAAAGUUUUAACAAUCUUGACAGGUGAGCUUCCAACAACAAUUUGCAAUGUCACUUCCCUUUCAGUUCUUGAUUUGUCAAAUAAUGGAUUAAGUGGUGCACUUCCAAACUGUUUCGCGAAUCUUGCUGAUAGAUUGCUUUACAUGAAUCUUGCUAAUAAUCUGUUUCGCGGAACAAUACUAAUUACUUUAUCCAAAAGUUGUCAGCUGACAUAUCUAAACAUGGAUAAUAAUGAGUUUGAAGGAUUGGUGCCCCCAUCUUUGGCGAACUGUAAGCACUUGAAAAUUCUUGAUAUUGGCAAUAAUAAAAUAGGUGGUUCAUUCCCGUCAUGGCUUUAUGUACUUGGAGAGCUAGAAGUCCUUGUCUUGCGAUCAAAUAAACUCUAUGGUACAAUAACUGGAAGGAGCAUAGAAGAUCCCUUCCCCAAGUUGCGGAUUGUGGAUCUGUCCGAUAAUCAAUUCACAGGCCAUUUGCCAAUUCAAUACUUUAAGAAUAUGAAAUCAACUGAUAAUAUGUAUAAUUAUCUGAAUUCCACAGGAGGAAUAUAUUUCACUUAUGAAGCAGCAGUCUCACUAACUGUGAAGGGAACAGAGUAUGAAGUAGCAAAUAACCUUCAUAUUUACACAGCUAUUGAUCUGUCGUGCAACAAAUUUCAGGGUGAAAUUCCAAAAGUUAUUGGAGAGCUUAGAUGGCUUGCAUUGCUCAAUUUAUCGCAUAAUAGUCUGACAGGACAUAUCCCAUCAUUGCUGAGAAAUAUGAAAGAACUCCAAUAUUUAGAUCUGUCCUCAAAUCAACUGACAGGGGCUAUUCCACCUCAGUUAACUGCAUUGACAUUUCUAGAGGUCUUGAACCUCUCAGGAAACCAUCUUAGUGGAGGGAUUCCUCAGAAAGGACAGUUCAGCACAUUCAACAAUGAUUCUUAUCUAGGAAACUCCGCUUUAUGUGGAUCACCUUUGACGAAGAAAUGUGCAAACACAGCAUCACCUCCAAAAGAAGUCGGAAAUGGUGAUGAAGAAGAUGGUGGUGAUGAAUUGACAUGGGAAGCAAUCGUGAUGGGAUAUGGAUGUGGACUGAUAUGUGGCAUCAUCGGCAUACAUUGUUCUCAAACUAGGAAAGCCGUGGUGGUUUGUGAGAUGUAUCGAAGUACUGCAACUGAAGUUGAUGAAAAGAUAUGCAUGAAGAAUGGUACUCUGGUCGAUCAACACGAACUUGAAAGUUGUUGUCCUUGUGGACUAGCUGCCUAAGUAUUUGGUAUUAUGUAAUAAUCCGUUUGGUCGGGACUCAUAAUCAUGCAUUUUUCUUGCUUCAGGAGUAUUAAUAUAUAUUAACCUUGCUAUCUAAAAGAAUAAAAUUGCAAAUUAACCUUCUCAGAGAAAUCUUGCUGAUAAAAUGCAUUGCAUUGAUCUCGCUAAUAAUCAGUUCCGAGGACCAAUACCAACAACCUUCUCAGACAGUUGCCAGUUAAGAUAUCUAAACAUGUAUGACAAUCACUUAAAAGGACUAUUGCCCCGAUCUCUGUCAAACUGUAAGCACUUGAAAAUUCUUGACAUCGGGAACAACAAAAUGGGCGGUACAUUUCCUUCAUGGCUAUUUACUCUCGGAGAGCUGGAAGUCCUAGUCUUGCGAUCAAAUAGACUUUACGGUCCAGUAAGUGGAAGGAGCACAUCACAUCCAUUCCCCAAGUUGCGGAUUUUAGAUCUCUCCAACAACCAAUUCGCGGGCCAUUUUCCAAUUCAAUACAUUAAGAAUAUGAAACCAACUGCUGACAACGGGUAUAGUUAUCAAAAUAGAUCACAAGGACUAAUUAAUUACAUCUAUGAAGCAUCUAUCUCCUUAAAUGUGAAAGGAACAGAGUAUGAAGUGAAAAACAUUCUUCAUAUCUACACAACCAUUGAUCUGUCGUGCAACAAAUUUCAAGGAGAAGUUCCAAAGGUUACUGGAGAGCUUAAAUGGCUUGCAUUGCUCAAUCUAUCUCAUAAUAGUCCUACCGGACAUAUGUUCUGCAUUAUUAUUAUGCUUUCAUCAAUAUUUUUAAACACUUCUCAAUAUGUAUUUUCAAAGAAUUCUCAAGCACUUGAACAUUUGGACCGGUUCUUUCGAAGCCAAGAUGCCCAGGUUAUCAUGGCCAUGCACAAAAAUGCCCAAAAAUAAAUAAAUUAAGAGAGAUUGCUCAGGGUCUCCCCAAGCCUUCCAGGACACAUUCCAAGUCUUCGGAGGACCACUGCCUCGCCCUUUCAAAGAUGUGAUAGUAGCUCGAGAGUGAUAUAAAUUAUUUUCCCGACACUAAAAUAAAUAGGGUUUUGUUCCAGGACAAUCGAUUGUCAUGGAGGUCUUCCAUCAUAUCCGCAGAUAGGAACUUUCCCUAUCCGCGGAAAAUUAUAGCGGAUACUUAAAAAAAUGAAGUUUAAUCUGGACCCUUGAAAUAGAGAUCCGACGGCCAUGAAAGUGUGUGUUAACUUACUUGGCACUAAGAUUGAUAAAGACAGUAUAAUAAUUUAAUUGAUGAAAAGUCAAAGUUUUCUAAUAAAUCCAUAAAGAAUAUGAUAAUCAAAAUAACGAAAAUUAUAAUUGAAAAAUCAAAAUCAUUAGUCAUGUAUUAGAAUAGUGUUCACACACUUAUAUAUCAAAAUUUGUGGUCCCAAAAACUAUAGCACAAUAUCCUAAAUACACCACAUUAAAUACUAGUUCAAAAAUAUUCAAUAAAUAAUUGAUUUCAUUCAUAAUUUUGUUAUUUUAAAAACGAAUAAUUUGGUUGAUGUUGACCUAUAUUUUAAUAUAUAAUUAUAUUAUUUUUGUCUUAUUUUAUUUAACUAGAAACAAUAUUUUUAUAAUAUUUAUUACAUUAAUUAUAUUAAUAGAUAUAAUUUUAUUAAAAAAAUUGAAUAAAAUUAAGAGGAAAACUCUAUGCCACUCCAAGUCUACAAGACUCAUUUCAAGUCCACCGAGGACCACUACCUCAACCAUUGAGAGAUGUGAAAGUAGCUUGAGAGUGAUAUAAAUUAUUUUCCUGACAAUAAAAUUUAAUAUCUAAUAUAAAUUAAUUAAAUUAGUUAAUAAUAAAUCAAAAUUAAUCAUAAAUUAUGAUUAUAAUUAAAUUAUAUAAAUCAACUCCAAAUGAUACAAAUAACACUAAACCUUGGUUACUUUGUUGGUAAAUAAAUAUAAUAUAAUAAUCAAAUUGAUGAGAAAUCAAAAUCAUCUAAUAAAUUCACAAAAAAUAUAUGAUCAUUAGUAUAUUAUAUUAGUAUCCACACACUUAUAUUUCAAAAUCUAUCCUCCAAACUUAUCAUCUCUGUAAACUAGCCACAUAAAAUAAAAAAUUUCCACACUAAAUAACAAAAUAUCUUUAUCAAAUUAUUAUUUAUGAAUUAAAUAUUCAAGUUAUAAUUCCAGCAUGCAGCGUAUAAAUAGAAGUGUGCAGUAUGAUAUCAGAUUCAUAACCCAGUUGAGGAGAAACAUGGCACACUCUGUAAAGCCUUCUCACCUUCUUCUCUUUGUUUUCUUUCUCUCAUCACUUGAAUCCAUUCUUGCAACAACACGAGAAGGAGAAGCUCUUGUGAAGUGGAAGAAUAGCCUAGCCCCUUCUUCUUUUCUCGAUUCUUGGUCCCUCACCAAUCUCGAAAAUCUUUGUAACUGGACUGGCAUUACUUGUAACUCUGCAGGUUCAGUCUCUGAGAUUAACCUCUGUGAGAAACAACUUGAUGGAAUGAUGUCCGAGUUUGGUUUCACUUCAUUUCCAUAUCUCAACAAUCUCACCCUCGCAUACAACUUCUUCUCAGGUCCAAUACCAUCAGCCAUUGAGAAUUUAACACAGCUUCAAUUUCUUGAUUUGAGCAAUAAUAAUCUCGAUGGUCCCAUUCCGUUGCAGGUUAGCCAUCUUCAGAGGUUGCUCGUCGUAAACCUGUCACAGAAUGCAUUGCAAGCUUCAAAUUGGUCCAAUUUCUCUCCCAUGCCUUUUUUGCGCAUUCUCAACCUCAGUAGCAAUCAUCUUGUAUCGAAAUUCCCAGAAUUUAUAUCCAAUUCUCAUAGCUUGGCUAUCCUUGACCUUGGAUAUAACAACUUUACAGGUGAUCUUGUGCGUGAAUUUACCAAUCUACAAAAUCUUGAAACCCUCUACCUUGAUGAUAAUUCUUUUGAGGGGCCAUUUCCGCCAGAUAUAGUCCAGCUUUCCAAAUUAAAAGAUCUCACCCUGUCGACUAACAAAUUUUCAGGUUCAAUUCCCGAUGACAUAAGGUUGCUUUGUGAUCUUGAAUUCCUAUAUUUAGGCAACAAUUCUUUUGAAGGACCCCUUCCACCAAAUAUAUUCAAACUUUCAAAAUUAAAACAUCUUGUUCUUUGGAGUAAUAACUUUUCAGGUUCUGUUUCCAAUGAUAUAGGUUUGCUUUCUGAGCUUGAAAUUCUCAAUCUUCAUUCUAAUUUUUUUGAGGGGCCACUUCCGCCAAAUGUAUUCAAGCUCUCCAAACUAAAGUUACUUUCCCUUCACGAUAAUAACUUUUCAGGUUUUGUUUCCAAUGAUAUAGGUUUCCUUUCUGAGCUUGAACACCUACAUCUUGGCCAUAAUUUUUUUGAGGGGCCACUUCCGUCAAAUAUAUUCAAGCUCUCCAAAUUAAGAUAUCUAGGCCUAUCAAACAAUAGAAAUUUAUUUGAAGGAAGUAUUCCUAUUGGACUGGGACUCUUGACUAACCUCAGGUUCUUAGAUCUAUAUUCCAAUAAUCUCGGUGGCUAUAUUCCAUCUGACAUUGGAAACCUGAAGCUACUAGUUAAUCUUGAUCUCAGUUCUAAUCAAUUGACUGGACCGCUUCCGAAGAUCGUUUCUAAUCUCACAAAUCUUAUAUCUCUUGAUGUAAGUGAUAAUAGUCUUAUAGGAAAUAUUCAGAGUGACUUGUGGAAAUAUAACGAUCAUCGAAAUUUGGAAAACAUCAAUUUAAGUGGGAACCAUUUUACAGGUAUAUCUUUUCCUUUAGUCAUAUGUAACUAAGCUAGUAAUCUGAUUAUUGCAGUUUUACCAAAGUUUCAAAAAUCUUGACAGGUGAGCUUCCAACAACCAUUUGCAAUGCCACUUCCCUUUCGGUUCUUGAUUUGUCAAAUAAUGGAUUAAGUGGUGCACUUCCAAACUGUUUCGGGAAUCUUGCUGAUGGAUUGCAUUACAUUAAUCUUGCUAAUAAUCAGUUUCGAGGAAAAAUACCAACUACUUUCUCCAGGAGUUGUCAGCUGACAUAUCUAAACAUGGAUAAUAAUGAGUUUGAAGGAUUGUUGCCCCCAUCUUUGGCGAACUGUGAGCACUUGAAAAUUCUUGAUAUUGGCAAUAAUAAAAUAGGUGGUACAUUUCCGUCAUGGCUUUAUGCACUUGGAGAGCUAGAAGUCCUUGUCUUGCAAUCAAAUAAACUCUAUGGUACAAUAAGUGGAAGAAGCAUAAAAGAUCCCUUCCCCAAGUUGCGGAUUAUGGAUCUGUCCAACAAUCAAUUCACAGGCCAUUUGCCAAUUCAAUACUUUAAGAAUAUGAAAUCAACUGAUAAUUUGUAUAGUUAUCAGUAUUCCUCGGUAGUAUUAUACUUCUCUUAUGAAGCAGCAGUCUCAUUAACUGUGAAGGGAACAGAGUAUGAAGUAAGAAAUAAUCUUCAUAUUUACACAGCCAUUGAUCUGUCCUGCAACAAAUUUCAGGGAGAAAUUCCAAAGGUUACUGGAGAGCUUAUAUGGCUUGCAUUGCUCAACUUAUCUCAUAAUAGUCUAACAGGACAUAUCCCAUCAUUGCUGAGAAAUAUGAAAGAACUCCAAUCUUUAGAUUUGUCUUCAAAUCAACUGACAGGGGCUAUUCCACCUCAGCUAACUGCAUUGACAUUUCUAGAGGUCUUGAACCUCUCGAAAAACCAUCUUAGUGGAGAGAUUCCUCAGAAAGGACAGUUCAGCACAUUCAACAAUGAUUCUUAUCUAGGAAACUCCGCGUUAUGUGGAUCACCUUUGACGAAGAAAUGUGUAAACACCGGAUCACCUCCACAGGAAGUCGGAAAUGCUGAUGAAGAUGAUGCGGGUGAUAAAUUGAUAUGGGAAGCAAUCGUGAUGGGAUAUGGAUGUGGACUGAUAUGUGGAUGGUCAUCUGCGUACAUUGUUCUCAACCUAGGAAAGCCUUGGUGGUUUGUGAGAUAUAUCGAAGUACUGCAACUGAAGUUGAUGAAAAGAUAUGCAUGAAGAAUGGUACUGGUCGAUCAAGACGAACUUGAAAGUUGUUGUCCUGGUAGACAUUUCUGAACCAGUAGUGUACUAGCUACAUAAGUAUUUGGUAUUAUGUAAUAAUCUGUUUGGUCGGGACUCAUAAUGAUUUCUCUUGCUUCAGGGGUAUUAAUAUUAACCUUGCUAUCUUCAUCUGUGUUGAUGCAAAUGAAAAAGAAUGGAAAAACAAAAAAAUUGCAUCAAACCUGUUGUACCAAGAUCCAUUAAUCUGCUUUCAUCUCUUACGCAACAAUUUAACAGCACUUUCACACUGUUUGAAAGAUUAUCAUAAAUUCGAGUUUUCCUCGGCAGCACCAAAUCCAAAUAUACAAUCCGUCAAUCCCACACAUUCCAGUCUCAGCUUCAGCUCCCAGGCUAGCAUUAAUAACAGUUGGGGAUUUGAGUGAACGUGCCUUGGUCCUGCCUUCAAAUGUGUAACAUUAACAGUUGGAUAUGUCGACAAAAAAAUUGUUCCUCACACAGCGGAAUAAAUCCGACAGUUCUUUUCAUCCAGCAAUUUAAAGCUUAACAGACAGUCAUUAUUUCAGCAAUAUGUCUAGCAAAUAUGUAGGGCACUUGACACCAUACUUCCAACACAAGUAGUAAAAGGAGAGACCAUUGUUUCGAAUGCUCGGAAAUUUGAACUGGGUUUUUUCAGCGUGCCCCUGACUUUUGUACACAAACAGCUGAAGAAAAGCAGAAGUCGGAUUCUGGAAAAAAGAAGCACUUAUCUAUGCUAAUAUAUUAAAAAUGUCAUCUGUGUUUCUUAUGUUUGUGCAACAACCUGACAGAAAGGGAUGUAGGUGAAACCAGGGGCGUAAAAUGAAUCGGGACUAAAAUCUACUAAAAUGAUAAUUAUGUACUAUAUUUGGUCUGUUUUAAUAUACAUGUAAAAGGGGACGAAGUAGUUGGUUAUAGUUGCGAAUCCUAUAAAUGAAUGCGCGAUCAGGAUGUGUCACUAAGCACCUCCAACGCCGGGUAAGGGUGAGUAGUCUACUUCUGCUUCCUCUGUUUUUUGUAUUUGACGUUUUAAAUUUUGGCACACAAUUUUAAGUGUUUUGACCGUAUAGUUGAAAAUAUUAAUUUUAAUUUUUUUUUGAAUAAAAAUAUAUAAUCAAAAUUUUAAUUUAGAAAAAAGAUCAAUCAAAAAUAAUAUUUUUUACUAUUCGAUCAACCCACUUAACAAUAACAAUUAAAAGACUUUAGUGACGUUAUCUGACCAAGGGUCAUGGAAACUUCGACAUCGGAAUCUUGCGAGGCUACUAUUCUAAAGCACGCAUAAUCAUUGUAUCCAUUUUCCUCUAACACUGACAAAAAAUCUAUUUGAACAAAUGAAAUACAAACAACUCAGUGGAAUGCUAACUGAGUAAAGUUUCACUUCAUUUCCAAAUCUCAACAAUUUCACCAUCAAAUAUAAUGACUUCUGCUGUCCAAUACCACCAGCCUUUGAGAAUUUGGCACAGCUUCAAUUCCAUACCAGGUUAGUCAUCUUUGGAAAUUACACGUCUUAGACCUGUCAAACAUAAAUUUCAAUCUCCAAACUGGUCCGAUUUAUCUUCCAUGCUCUUUGUUGAGAACCGGUCCAUCUAAAACCUUAAGAUGUCAGAGGAAACUCAAAAUGGAUCUUCUACUAUAUUUUAACAUUUCUGAGUACAUUCAAUUAUAAGGUCACUUGUGCAUCGCUGUUCACACACUUAGACCCUGUUUGUGUGGGCUUUAAGUCCGGGCUCAAGCUAUUUCGACUUCAUCACUUCCAAGGACUUAUACCAACAACCUUCUCAAAGAGUUGCCAGUUAAGAUAUCUAAACAAGUGUGACAAUCAGUUAGAAGGACUAUUGCCCCGAUCUUUGUCAAACUGUAAGCACUUAAAAAUUCUUGACAUCGGGAACAAUAAAAUGGGCGGUACAUUCCCUUCAUGGCUAUUUAAUCUCGGAGAGCUAGAAGUCCAAGUCUUGCGAUCAAAUAGACUGUACGGUCCUGUAAGUGGAAGGAGCACAUCACAUCCAUUCCCCAAGUUGCGGAUUCUAGAUCUCUCCAACAAACAAUUCACGGGCUAUUUGCCAAUUCUAAACUUUAAGAAUAUGAAACCAGCUGCUGAUGAUAACGCGUAUAGUUAUAAAAAUAAGUCACAAGGACUAAUUAAUUACAUCUAUGAAGCAUCUAUCUCCUUAAAUGUGAAAGGAACAGAGUAUGAAGUGAAGAACAUUCUUCAUAUUUACACAGCCAUUGAUCUAUCGUGCAACAAAUUUCACGGAGAAGUUCCAAAGAGAGCUUAAAUGGCUUGCAUUGCUCAAUCUAUCUCAUAAUAGUCUUGCCGGACAUAUGUUCUGAAUUAUUAUUAUGCUUUCAUCAAUAUUUUCAAACAUUUCUCAAUAUGUAUUUUCAAAGAAUUCUCAAGCCCUGGAACAUUUGGACCGGUUCUUUCGAAGCUAAGAUGCCCAGGUUAUCAUGGCCAUGCACAAAAAUGAAUAAAUUAUUCCAAGUCUUCCAUGACUCAUUCCAAGUCUUCGGAGGAGACCCUGAGCACAAAGAUGCUCAGGGUCUCCCCAAGCCUUCCAGGACUCAUUCCAAGUCUUCGGAGCACGGCCUCGCCUCGCUCUUUCAAAGAUGUGAUAGUAGCUCGAGAGUGAUAUAAAUUAUUUUCCCGACACUAAAAAUAAAUAAUCAGAUCAAAUUAAUCAAUAAUAAAUUAAAGAUGAAAUCCAAAUUAAUCUUAAAUUUUGAUAAUAUAUAAAAAUUAUAAUUAUAAAUUAUAUACCAAAUCAGAAUUGAAUUAAUUCCUUGGCACUAAAAUUGAUAAAGAAAGUAUAAUAAUUUAAAUUUAAUUGAUGAAAAGUCAAAGUCUUCUAAUAAAUCCAUCGAAGAGCACUAAUUCCAUCUGCAGUGAUUUGGAAGAACAGGUCUCUUGCCACUCCAAUUCCUAAGAAAAUUUAGCCCAUAAAUAGAAGUGUGCCUUGCGCUAUGAGAUGUACAAUGUGACAGGAAACAUGUUGCACUUCCCAAAGCCUAAUUAUCACCUCAUUGUGCUAGUUUUCUUUCUCAUAUUGCUUUCAUCUACCCUCACAACAGUAUCUACGACAAGAGAAGGAGAAGCUCUGUUAAAAUGGAAGAACAGUCUACCACCAUCCUCUUCCCUAAAUUCUUGGUCACCCGUCAAUCUCAAUAAUUUGUGUAACUGGACUGGCAUUAUCUGUAACUCUGCAGGUUCAGUCUCAGAAAUAAACCUUUCACUAAAACAACUUAGUGGAACGCUUGCCAAUUUCAGUUUCACUUCAUUUCCAAAUCUUAAUAGUCUUGACAUUAGUGGCAACAACUUUACAGGUCCAAUACUACCUGCCAUUGAAAAGUUCACGCAGCUUCAGCAUCUUGAUUUUAGCUUUAACAAGCUCAAUGGUAUCAUUCCAAACCAAAUUUGGCAUCUUCAGAGAUUGCGCACCUUAGACCUGUCAGUUAAUUACUUGGAAGCUUCAGACUGGUCUAGUUCUUUCUCCAUGCCUUUUCUGACCAACCUCGACCUUAGUUUCAAUAAAAUUGGGGCAAGAUUCCCAGGCGUUACAUCCAAUUCUUGUAACCUAACAUGUCAAUUGUUGCCUGAGUCAUUAGUUAACAAUCUGCAUAAUCUGGAAGUCCUUUCUCUUCAUCACAAUUCUCUCGACGGGCCAUUUCCACCAAGCAUAUUCAAGCUUUCCAAAUUAAGAUAUCUCUCCCUAUCAAGUAAUCAUUUUUCAGGUUCUAUUCCGGAUGAUAAGGGAUGCUUGGUGAUCUUGAAUCCCUUUAUCUGGGUCACAAUUCUUUUGAGGGGCCCUUCCCACCAAAUAUUUUCGGUUUUUCCAAAUUAAUAAAUCUGUCUUUAUCAGGGAAUAGCUUUUCAGGUUCUGUUCCAGAUGAUAUAAGGAUGCUUAGUGAUCUUGAAUACCUUGAUCUUAGUCGGAAUUUUUUUGAGGGGCCUUUUCCACAAAAAAUAUUCAAGCUUUCCAAAUUAAAAGUUCUUGACCUAUCAAGAAACAAUUUUUCAGGUUCUAUUUCAGAUGAUAUACGGAUGCUUCAUAGUCUUGAGUUGCUCCAUCUUGAGUACAACUCUUUUCAGGGACCCUUUCCACCAAAUAUAUUGAAGCUUCCGAAUUUAAGAGUACUUGACCUAGCAGACAAUGACUUUUCAGGUUCUAUUCCCAGUGAUAUAAACAUGCUUCAUGAUCUGAAAAUACUUUCAUUGUUUUCUAAUUCAUUUGAAGGAACUAUUCCUUCUUCUAUAAGUCUACUCAAGGAGCUACGAUACCUUCACCUCGGGUCUAAUCAUCUCAAUUCCACUAUUCCUUCUGAGCUGGGGCUCUUGGCAAACCUUGACCGAUUAUAUCUUGAUUCCAAUAAUCUUACUGGCAAUAUCCCUCAUAUCUGAACAUGUACAACAAUUACUUUGACGGAGUGUUGCCUCAAUCUUUUGCCAACUGCAAGCAGUUAAAAGUUCUUGAUAUAGGAAACAACAAAAUAAGUGGUACAUUUCCCUCAUGGCUAUUUACUCUUGCAGAGCUAGAACUCCUUGUCUUGCGGUCCAAUAGACUUUAUGGUACAGUAAGUUUAAGAAGCACAACAGAUCCCUUUCCCAAGUUGCGCAUCAUGGAUCUCUCAAACAAUGACUUCACAGGCUAUUUGCCAAUUCAAUAUUUCAAAAAUAUGAAGCCGGUUGAUAAGGGGUAUGAUUAUCACAAUUUCACAGCACCAUUUUAUUACUACUAUCAAGCAUCUAUCUCGUUAACUGUGAAAGGGACCGAGUACCAAGUGAGUAAAAUUCUUCAUAUUUACACAGCCGUUGAUCUGUCAUGCAAUAAAUUUCAAGGAGAAGUCCCAAAGGUCAUUGGAGAACUUAAAGGGCUGGCAUUGCUCAAUUUAUCUCAUAAUAGUCUUACUGGACCUAUCCCAUCACAGCUCGGAAAUAUGAAAGCACUCCAAUCUCUGGAUUUGUCUUCAAAUCAAUUCACAGGGGCUAUCCCAUACCCGUUAAUUGGUUUGACAUUUCUAGAGGUCCUGAACCUCUCAUAUAACCAUCUCACCGGAGAAAUUCCCCAAAAAGGACAACUGAGCACGUUCAGUAAUGAUUCUUACCUAGGUAAUCUUGCCUUGUGUGGAUCUCCUUUAACAGAGAAAUGUGCACACGAAGAGUCACCACCACAAGAAGUCGGAUAUGAUGAAGAUGGUGCAGAUAAUAAAUUCCAAUGGAAAGUAGUCCUAAUGGGAUAUGUUAUCGGAUUAGUAUGUGGAUUGUCUUCAGGGUACAUUUUUCUCACAACUGGAAAGCCUUGGUGGUUUUUGAGAUACAUCGAACAACUGCAUAGCAAAAGUUGAUCAGAAGAUUCACGUAGAGUACUGUUUGAUUAAGAUGAGCAAGUUGAAAAGAAUGUUUACUAGACCAGUGGUAUGUCGGGAACAUUAAUGUGUGGUGUCAUAUAAUAUUUGAAAUGCUAAUGUCAGUGCUAGUUCUAGUUCGGGUCUGAUACUGAUUUACUCGUCUCAGAGAUACAUAUUUGUGUUCAAUGUUAAUACAAAACGGAAAAAACAUACUACACAUUAAAUCAACUUUGUAUCAAGUCGAGUUUUGGAGAUGCCAUGAUCAAAAGAAAAACACGGUGAAUGAUAUUUAUUAAGAACACGACUUGAACUAUAAGUGCAUGAAAAUCGUCUUUCAAAGUAUGGCAGGGGUGUGAAUCGUGCACACCAUGGAUAGUCACUUGAAAGCUAACCAUUCUGAGGUUCGUGGAAGCUGAUUUCAUACUCUUGAAAGCUAUCUUUAGGACGUCGAAACUUUAAUUUGUGUUGCAUAACAUUUCAUUAUGCAAGACAGAUGGUUUCAGGGAAACUAUACUGGAGAGCAAGUACCAAACAGUAAGGUAUACUUUGGAUGAUGAAAUUCCUCCCUGAUUUUUACAUCAUUUCUAGUUUUAAACGUGACAGAACAUUCGGGCGAAUGUUCUGGUCAAUUUUUUCAUGGUUGGGCCAAAAGAAUUAUAGUACAAAUGGGUGAGAAAGUUACAUUUUAGAGAUCGCUUCUCAUUAUUUAUAAUGACGAUCAAUUUUAUUUGAUUACUUUUAAUUUUAUCUUUUAUACUUAUUAAAAACACAGAAGAUCGUGUAAACAAAAUUAAUACAAAACGUACUUAUUCAUAGGAAAUGAUUUACCUCACUUAACUGCGCUUAAUUAUUUGAAAGGAAAGAAUACAACACAAAAUUAAAUAUAUAAAGAUCUGUUAUUUGUUAUUUGGAAAUGAGGAAUUUUUUUAACAUAAUCAUUGAUAACAUAUUUUUCCAACUUAUUUAUAUCUGCCAGAAUUAAAUAAAAUACGCCUCAAUAGGUUAUCAUUCUUAAUGUCAAAUUGCAAAAAUAUAUAUAUUUUUAUUUAUGUCAUAUUCUUAGAAAAAAAUUAAUAACAAGAUAAUAAUCCCUAGCUUUAAAGGGAGGAAAACAAGUGUAAAAUAAAUAAAGUAAUUUAACUUUCACUUAUAUUAUUAAGAUAAAAGUAAGCGGAAAUAAAUAUAAAUUCAACAUAUUUAACUUACCCUUCAGAAUCCAUAAGUUUGGAACAAGUAGAUUGAGCACAAGACGAAGGCCACACAUGCGCAUCAUCUGAUGCAGCUAUGGUGCCUUUACAGUUGCUCAUACAUAUAGUGAAACAAUAAGGAUCAACUCCUCCAUUGUGCGUACACAUUUUCAUACAAGCUAUAAAGCAUGGUGAUAGAGUCUUUGCAAUCUCAUCAUGACCAGCACAUCCGAUCAUGAUAAACUCUAGCAGGAUCAUCCAAGUAAUAAUUUUCUUAAUGAUAUUAAUUAUCAUUGUGAAUAGUUGUAUUGAGUUAUGCAUGUGUGUGUAUAUAUAUGCAAUGGAUUUUGUGGUUGAGAAUAUCUGUUAGAUUUUGUAUAUCCAUAACAAUUAUUAAAAUUUGAACAAUAAUAUCUAUUAUUGGUUGUGAUCGACUAUUGUAGUAGUCCAAAAAAUCUAUAUUACAUUUAAAAAGAUUAUACAUGAAAUACAAAAGCUUUUUAUUAGGACUGUUGUUAAAAAUUGCUAUGUUGUACGAAAAAAUGCUGAUAAAAAAUGUGUUACAGAAAAAAUGCUGAUAAAAAAUGUGUUACAGAAAAAAUGCUGAUAAAAAAAAUGUUGUAGAAAUCAGAUAUGACAGCUUCCCACAAAAGCUAAAAAAACAGUUUUUUUCCAUAAUAAUAUGGGAGGAGAAAAACUGUUUGUAGAAUUAUUGAACAAUUUUUCACAUAUUUUUCGAUAAAAAGCUGUUGUUAUUGUCUUCAGUAAUGCCAAACAGUGCCGAAAUCAUUUUGAAAUCAUUUUGCAGGUAGUUAAUCUCACUUCCAUAUAAUAUAGUACUCCUAUAUAUUAUCGAAAAAACAUGAAAUGAUGCAAAGCUCAUACUAUUGACAACAGGUAAACUCCUUGCAAUACUUUGAGCUGCAAAAUCCAUCAAAUUUUUUGAUUUAUCAACGUAACUGUUUGACAGAGUACUUCCAAGCUAAGCAUCAAAAGUCACUACCUUACGAAAUAUAUCUCACCCUACCUUCUCUGCUUAUAAGCUGUUUUGAGUACUUUUACCAAGCAUAUUUUCCAUUAAGCGUGAAAGGCACAGAAUAAUUAAGGAUCACCUAUCCCAUCAGUGCCGGGGAAUAUGGAACCAUCUCAUCAAUUAACUAGUUUAACAUUUCUCGCGGUCUUGAACCUCUCAGAAAACCAUCUUAUACUAAUGUGCCGACUUCCUUUGACGAAGAAAUGGUGAUGCUGAUGCUAAUGAUAAUGAACUUAACUGGGGAGUGAUCCUUAUGGGAUACGGAUGUGGAUUGAUAUGCGGAUUUUCUUUGGGGUUUAUGUUUUGUGGUUUGUGAGAUACAUUGAAGUACUGCAGCUGGAGUUGAUCAUUAUAAAGAACAUAGGCAAGUUAAUCGCUUAUUGAAAUUAGUAAUUGUCAAAAGUAAAAUGUUGAAAUUACUUUUUUCGAUUGAAAUCAUCGAAAAAAAGUCUCUGUCGAAAUUGAUCUGCCAAAAUUAUGUUUAAUAUCUACGGCCAGGAUUAUCUGUCGAAUAUAUUUCCCGACAAUUUUAAAAGACAAAUUUUUCGCCUCUCAGCUGUGAGCGGGAACAGAUAUCUUCGACAGAAUUCCAUUGAAAUUAGCUAAUUUCAACAUAAAUUUUCUAUCGAAAUUACUUGAGUUCUUUGUAGCUUGUUUUCACAAAUACGCUGAUAGCCUUUGGGGACGGGUAUAUUGUUUUCACAAAGCCCUGGUGGUAUGUGAGAUGCUUCGAAGGACUGCAACUGAAGUCGAUAAGAACAUGCAGAAAGAAAACCGAUCCAUCUUGAUGAACUUGAAAAAUGUUGUCAUAUGGUGAUAUAUACUCCCCUGGCCCCAGUCUCUUGAAAAAAACUUGGCUGAUUUUUUUUUUUUCAGUAUCUAUCCCUAAUAAUUGCAGCAAAUUAAAAAAUAUAGUUAUAUCUUUUUAGCAAUGGUGCAAUCUGGAAAGCUUUCUCAUCAUCUUCUUCUUUUCUUUAUCUCAUUACUCUCAUCUAACUUGACGAUCCUAUCUGCAACAUUUCGCCAAGGAGAAGCUCGUGUGGAAUGGAAGAACAGCCUAUCCCCGAAUUCGUUUCUUGGUUCACUAAUUAAUCUCACUUAUCUUUGAAAUUAAGUGGACUGGCAUUGUAUGCAACUCUGCAGGUUCAGUCAGUCAGAUUAAUCUUCAAGAACUCACAGGAACACUUGCUAACCUCGGUUUCUUUUCGUUUUCAAAUCUCACCAAUCUCAACAUUACACAUAACAACUUCACUGGUCCAAUACCACCCGAGAUUGGAAAUUUAACAGAUGUUCAGUACCUCGACUUUAGCUAUAAUAAUCUCAAUGGUACCAUUCCAUACCAGGUCAGCCAUCUUCAGAGGUCGGUCGUCUUCGGCCUCUAAUUUAAUCACUUGAAAGCUCUAAGCUUGUCCAAUUUUUCCCCCAUGCCUAUACUGGUUGGUCGCGGUCUUGGUGGUAAUAAGCUGGCGUCAAUUUUUCCAGAAUUCAUAUCUAAUUGCUAUAACAUGAUUAACCUUGAUCUUUCAUUUAACAUGUUAACUGGUAAUCCCUUCAACAACUUGCGAAUCUUGGAUCUCUCGGACAAUGAAUUCACUGGUUACUUGCCAAUCCAAUAUUUUAAUAAUAUGAAACCAGUUGAUACUGUGAUUGAUUAUUACAACCUCUGUUCUAAAAGUCGGUGAUUAAUCACGAUUAAUUAAUCACUGAUUAAUCUAUGUUCCGUAGCUCGCCAAACUGAUUAAAUAUCCGAUUAUUCUAAUUAAUCCCCGAUUAAUCACCGAUCAAUGUAAUUAAUCUCCAAUUAAUCUUUAUUCCGAAACUUCACCGAUUAAACUCGAUUCCCACUUUUUACAACACUGAUUACAACAUAACAGGGAAUCAUGAUUAUCAAGCAUCUGUCUUGUUAACAUUGAAACAAAGAGAGCAUGAAGUGAAAGGAAUCCUUUAUAUUUACGAUGUCAACAGCCCUACUGUCAAAAUUCCUUUCAAGUCGGGGCUUUUUACGAUUAUUUGGUAAUUCAGUGUUGAACUCCGCUCAACUUAUAAUUAGAUAAUCGAACUCAAAAAUCUUGCAAUCAACAAAUAAAUUAUUGAAAACUUGCAAUUGAAUAAUGGCCGUCAAGUCACUUAACAAUACUAACCGAAAACGAACGUGACGGGCUGAUGUGUUUAAAAAAAUGCAUGAUGACUAUAUACGUGAUGUUUACGACCCUGACUAAUAUAUCCAACAAAUAAUACAUUCAACCUGAUCUAAUAAUGUAAUACAUCUACUUAAAUAUAUUUUCAUGCCAAAUAUUUAUAGAUUUGUUUUUACAAAAAUGAUUAGAGACUUUUGCAUAUAUAAAAAUUGAGAAUUAUUGCUUGACUAGACAAAAAUAGGUGAGUUGUGAUUAUAAUAAAUAUUUAUUUCUACGAUGUAGUUUUUAUUAGUUAUAUAUAAAAAAAAUCUUGCUCUAUUUUGAUACUAGUGCAAUGAUUACUUCAAUUUAUUUUUUAUACGAGUUAGUAAGAUAUAUGACUAACUCAUCUUGCACUCGUAUUAAUUGUCUUAUAUAAUAUUAAUAACAAAAAUAUGAGGCGGUGCUUAGUCAGAUGAUUUUAGUUGUUAAAAUAUUUUUUUGUUAUUUAUAGAUAGUGAAACUUGUCUCAUAUUUUAUCUAUUUUGUUUCGUUUCUUGAGAUUUCCAAAUAUUUAUUAGGACAUUGUACCAUGGUGUAUUUCAAGAUAUUAUUGUUAUUUAGAUAAUUAGUCAUAUUCAAUGAAUUUUGAGGACAAAAUUUAAAUAAGAGGAGAACAAUGUCAUAUCUCACGUAUUAGCAGUUUUAAUUAUUUUAUAUUUUUAUUUUAAAGAUAAGAUAAAGUUUAUUUAUUUAAUUGUUUUUAUCUUAAAAGCGAUUUUGAGUUGUUUGAGUUAGAUAUAUACUCCUACUGUGGUUCAACUAGUUUUGCCGUAAGUGAAUAAUUUCCGGUCAAUAUUUUGAAAUUUGUUGUUAUCUUCUAAUUAAGAUAAUUAAGGGGUUAAAUAGCUUUUGAAAAAUGUGAAAAAAAUCAAAAAAAUUGGGAAACCAAAAGUGGCAAGCUUUUUUUUUUUUGUUCUUUUUAAAUUUUCUAAAAUCUGGGGAAAAAAGAACUUGCCACCUAAUUUUUUCCAAAUUUUUUCAAAUUCUUUUCAGAUUUUUGAAUUUUUUCCCCAAUUUUUCCUCACUUUUUUCUGAUUUUUUUUGAAUUUAUUAAGAUUUUUUUUGUUUUUUCUGCUUAUUCUGAAUUUUUUAAGAUUUAUUCGCAUUUUUUUCAUAUUUUUAAAAAAUAUUUUUGAAUUUUCCGUUAAGUAAUUAAUGGAACUGACGGAGAGUGAUGCUUUUGAAAGUUUUUAAUUACUUGAUAAUGCGUUUGAAAAUUUUUUCAACAACAUGACCCAGUUGCAAGUUUCCGGCGAGGUUAGUGAUGAAUUAGUUAUUUAACUCUUAAUAAAAAUCUAUCUAAACAAUAUUAUAAAUAUAAUGUUAUGGGUUCGAUGAGUCGUGUAAAACAUGGAAGAAGUUUAGGUGGGGUAAAAAGAGCCUAGCUGUGUGAUUUCCAUUCUGUUAUACGUGAUAUACUGUAGUUGAUCAUCUCCUUUGUCCGCUUCAUCCUGUGCAACCUUAACCUUUAAGGAAAAACUUAUGAGAUUCUCUACUGCAUCUAAAUUCUUGUGUGAAGAAUGUGAAGAAAAAUGUUAGUCUCAGAUUAUUUUUCCUAAAAUGCUUGCAUGUUACAUUUUAUAUGUAUGUCCUGACUUUAAGUAUAAUUUAGCAUUUUUAUUUAGUAUUGUGUAAAAAUAAUAUAUUUUAUUCAGUCUUAUUAAAAAUAUAAUCAUGUUAUACUGUAAAAGUAUUUGUGAAUUUCUUUGUUACAUAUGUGUUUAAAUUAUUUUAUUUAUAUAUGUUUUACAAUUUUUUACAAAUAUAUAAGUUGAGUAUUGCAUAGGAAUAUAAUUACACGUUAGCAAAUAUGAUUAUGUGUAAACUGUUCUGCGUGCAUGUAUAUUGCUGCUAAGUUUUAAACUUCUUACUAACCGGAAUAAUUUUGACAGAUGUGUGGAACUUGAUUAAUUUAGUUGCACUAUAAGAGAAAGCGUUUUUGUCAAUAAAAAUUGUUAAGGAAAUUAGUCCGUUGGUAGUUCUCAACGGAUUUGUAACAAUUUGACUGGUCAAUGUUCUGUCAACCAAUUAGUAAUGAAAUACCCACACUUAUUUACCAACGAGAUGUUCUAUUAGGAAAUAUAGCCACACAAUGGAAUAGUAACAAAAGACCAAGGAAUGAGCAACAUACUAGCAACGAAAGUAUCUGUUAUUAAAUAUUCCCUUGAUAAAUACUAGACUUUUUAGCACUUUGGUGCAGUGGCGGAGCCAGCCAUAAACUUUAAUGGGGGCCAAAAAUAACUUUUUAAGACAUCAUAAAAGAUGAUAGUUUAUAAUCAAGCAUCUCCCAUUAUAUUUUGAAGUAUACUUUUAAUAAGAUUAAUAGUUUGAAAAACUCUUUCAACAUUGUCUGUUGCAACAUCAAAAUUAACUUACAUUAGUUAUAUGAAUUCAAAUAUCCAUAUCAAAUUUCGAGAUAUCGAAGAAAAGAAUAGAAAACGUGCAUGUUCUACUUUUUGAAUAGAAAGAAAAUAAAGGAAUAAUAGUGAACAACCAAGAAGGCAAGAAGUAAUCGAUGAUAACCAUAAAGCCCAGAAGAGGUGGAUGAUAGAAUGUCGUCCCAGCUAAUGUAUGUCUAUAUAUUAAUAUUAAAAACUAUAAAAUCUCUAGUGGGGUCCAGUGCCCCCACAUGCCUCUACAUGCCUCCACCACUGCUUUGGUGGCUUGUACUAUUUCAAAUUUGCACGUUAGUGGCCCACCUUUAAAAGUCAUCAAUUGUGUUGCUGAACUUAUUUUUUUUUAACACAUUAGGGGCUCUGCAUCAUAUCCGUUAAAUCGAAGUAACGGCGUCAAAUGAUCAAUACAUAUCUCCUCCUCCUCUUAUUUCCCUCCAAAUUAAAAACGAAACGGCUACCCCCUUUUCCGAAGCAAGAACGACGACGAAUUCCUGCUUACAGAGAUGAGUUGGUUCCGGCGUCUUAAAGAGGAUGCUGAUGUGUAUCAGCCUCGACAGUGCCCCGAUUACUGUGGUAAGCUCUUCAACUUUUCUUCUUUGUAGCAUAUGAAAUGAGUUUAAUUGACCAUUAUUUCAGUGUUUGUUGUUGUUAGUGGCUAGUUGUUUAGUAUUAUGGACCUGCAAUUGCUUUAUACUAUUAAAAUGGAAGAUUCUGCUUGUGGGUUUUUAAAAAUUAGGGCUUUUACAUAGUCCAAGAUUCGGUCAUUAUAAAAUCAAUUUAUGCCUGUUUUAGUAUAAUGCUUGUUGUUAGUGGCUAUUUGUUAAGUAUAGUGUUGUUUAUUGUAAAUAAAACUGUUGCUUUGCACUCUACAUUUGCAGAACCUGGUGAUUUUACCCUAAAAAUAUAUCAUGGGGCCGAUUGGGUAGAUAACCCUAGGGCAUAUGUGGGAGGUACAGUAGAUUUCUUUGACUUCUGUAAUGCUGAUCAGAUCAGCAUAAUUGAGAUAUAUAGUAUGUUGAAAGAGGUUGAUGAGUUUGGGUUUCACCAACUGUGGUAUAAGCUACCUGGCACUACAUUCGAUAGAGCUUUUGUACUAAAUAAUGAUGAGGAGCUAAUGACCAUGUGUGAGCUUAUAUCUGAUGUGGAUAAGUAUAUGGAGAUUUAUGUCACCACUAUGGCACAUCUAAGUACAGUGCCCUAUAGAGAUUUAGAGGUUGAAUUUGUUGAACCAACUCCUAAAGAAGCACCUGAAAAGAACAAUCCAUCACCUGAAAAGAUCAAUCCAGCACCUGAAAAGAUCAAUCCAGCACCUGCAAAGAUGUAUCCAGCACCUGCAAAGAGCAUUCCAACUGUGGGAAAUGAUGAUGAUCAGGAAGAGUUUGAGUUUGAUUUUGACAAUUGAUAGAAUAUAUUUUUGUAUAUAUUCUAUAUGAUUUUAUUCCCAUAUUUAAUUAUAUUUUGCACUGAUUUGGAUAUUUAUUUAAUAUAUUUUCAUGUUUUAUUGUAGGGAAUAAAGAAUUCCAAGUUGAGAAGGAUUUGAAGAUAAAUUAGCUAUUUUGGAGUUAAAUUCUAAAGAAAUUCGGAUUUAUUGGGUUUUACCCGAUUUCUGCACUGUUUGAGCCAUAUCUUGAGUUCCGGAUGUCGGAAUUGGACGUUCUUACAGCUCACGCGAAGCCCUUGAUAUUUCCUUUAAUUUAGAAGUGGCCCAGCAAGAAAAGUCCAACUGGAAAAGCCCGAAAACUGGACAGAACAGAAAGCUACGAAUUUUGAGACUAAAUCCUACUUGGUUUUGGAGUUUUAUUCAUAUAUUAGUUUUAAAUAUUAAAAGAGGUAUAUUAUUAGAGAUAGGAUUAGUUUUUAUCAUUGUACAAUAUUAGAGUAGGUUAGGGUUAGAGAGAAACUUAGAGGAGAGGCCAUUACUCUUUUUUGGAUGACAACAAUGAAGGUUUAUAAAGGUUUUCUUCUAUAGUUUUCUUCUCUUUACUUGUUAGUUUAAUUAUGUCUUUUAAUUAUUCUAGUUGUUUAAUUAGUAUCGAGUAGUGUGUUCUAGGGUUUAAGGGGAAGCCAUGUUUGCGUUAUGAUGUUGGCAUGAUUUAACAGUGAUUUGAUUGAUUGGUUAAUUCUAAUUGAUAUGUUUUAAUAUUGAUUUAUGUAAUCGGCCGAUAUCAUGAAUUGAUUCUAUGCGAAUAGGAGUAUGAUCGAGAGAUAUACGACUAGAGGCACACAUACAAUUAGCAGAAUUGAAUUUGAGUGCGAGAGCAUCAUUGAAUUUCUGAAAGCGUUAAUACUCGAGAGAGAUUAACAUUGCUUUAAUUAUCUGAUUAAUUGGAUUACUAAAAGUGAUUAUUUGUGUAAGCAUGUUUCGAGAGUGUUGAUACUUGAGAGAGAUUAACAAACUCUAGUUUCAUGACCGCUUUAAUUGCUUUAGCUUAGAGCCAGUCAUUGUCUAAGCAUGGUGGACCUGAUUGCCCUGGAUUUUUAACAUAUUAUUUUAGUGUCUAUUUAGUUAGUGUUAAUAUAAUAAUGUUUAUUUAGUUAAAAAUAUUUCUUUCGAUCAUCGUUGAUUUGGGAACAAUUGAAUGUAACUUAAUAAAAUUGAUAGCAUCUGUCUCCUCGAGGAUACGACCCGCAUUUGCCAGUCUACACUACAAUAGACACCGUGCGCUUGCGGUAGUUAUAAUUUAACACAUCAAGUUUUUGGCGCCGCUGCCGGGGAGACGGCUAGUUUCUAUUAGUUUUGUUUGGUUAUCUAGAUUGUUUCCUUUGCCUCGUUGGAACCCUUGUUCCAAUUGAGGCGGAUUUUACUCUGUUUUCUUGGCUGUGUUGUGUUUUUCAGGUUUACAAUGGACGGAGUUGAUAACUUUGCACGUCUAUCUUCCCUGAUCGAGGCAUAUACUCGUGAAAAUGCCUCAUUGAAUGCUACAGAGCCCACUACACGUCCACUGAGUAUCAACGAGAUGUCACAAGCUGCCCCGAAGACUUAUAACUUCUGUCAAGUUUGUGGUGUUCAGGGUCACUAUGGUUAUGAAUGUUCUUACAAUGUAUUUAAUUCUCAGAAUGCUCAGUUGGGACAUGUGAAUGAUUAUCAAGAAAGAUAUGAGUACAAUCACUAUUCUAAUUCUUGUGAUCAACAAUGGAUGGGUCAACCAGAUUUCUCUUACAUGGACAAUGAAUUUCAAAAUUUCUCAUAUCAUGAUCAACAACAAUUUCAGCAACAUCGUUAUGAAGAACCACCACUACAGCAAUAUGAUCAGUUUGAGCAGGAAUAUCAUCAACCUCAAUAUGAGCAACCUCAGUUUCAGCAGUAUCACUAUUCUCCACUUCAACAAGAGCUACAGGUUCCUUUAACCAAUGUAGAUGUGCCAUCGUAUCAGACGAAUGAGGUAUGUGAUAUGUUGAUAUAUAUGACCAAGAGUUUUGAGGAUGGUAUCAUGAACUUCCAGAAAUGCAUUGAUGAGAGUACCAUGAUGAUUAAAGAAUUAAAAGCUGAACAACUGAUGAUGGAAGGUCAAAUUGCACAAUUGUCUAGUUCUUCUUCUACAUGUCAAACCGAAUCCUCUCCACCUCCAUGUCUUCAAGUUGAAGAUGACAUAAAUACUAUCAUUCUUGCAAGUGAUAAAGACAGUGAUAGUUUUUCGAUCUGUGAUGAUGAUGCGCCUAUUGGUAAAGGGGAGGAUCAUGUCAUUGCCAAUGAAAUUGAUGAUGUUGUUGAUGUUGUGGACCAUGUGCGUGAUGAUGAGCUAAGUGAAGAAAGCAAUAUCGAGUUGGUAGUAGUUUCUCCUCCGCCUUGUGUGCUUAAAUUACCAUUCUUGAAAGGAAUCAACUUAAUCAAGGUGGAUCAACAAUUUGAUAUGAAAAACUUUGCUUUUACUCGAACCUCAGCUCCAAUAUUUGAGAGCACAUGUUUUAAAGUUGAUGUGAUGAUUGUCCAAGAUGAGAUUUCUCAGAAUAUUUCCUAUGAUCCAUUUCAAAAGGCUCUUACACCUCAAGUCUUGGAAGAAGGUGUUUGCAAUAUUGACUUUUUAUUCAUUGAAGCAAGAAGAAGCCAAGAGAUUCAACUAGCUCCUGCGAAAGUGAGGAGUUCUGAAAAACCACCACCGGAGCCUCCACCUCAUGUGAAUAUCAAGGGAGUUCAAUCUUUUGAUGGAUGUGAAUUCUAUCGUUGCUUUAUCAUAAAGUUCUCCAAAUCUAUGAAAUAUAUUGAUCAGUUGUUAUAUCUUGAUGCGACAAUUAAUUUUAUUAAUGCUUGUUUGGAGACUUUCUGCAGGAUAAAGACAACAUUUGAUGUUAAGGAUUUUAUUUUUGGUGGUGAGAUCAUGUUUGAGAAAGCGGAAACUCCGCCUUUUACAUAUUCUUUUUGGAGGUAAAAAGUCAAGCUAAUGACUCUAAAAGAGCGCUACUUGGGAGGCAACCCAAGGUCUCUAUUAGUUUAUUUAUAUAAUAUAUUUUUGUAUUUUUUUAGGAGCUUAAAAUUUUUAUUUUCAUUUUUUUUACUCCCAUAAGAUGCCUUGAUGAAUUUGUGUGAAGUGUUUUCAGAUAUUAUAUCCAAUCACUCAUGCGGCUCCUUUUUAAAGUUCNNNNNNNNNNNNNNNNNNNNNNNNNNNNNNNNNNNNNNNNNNNNNNNNNNNNNNNNNNNNNNNNNNNNNNNNNNNNNNNNNNNNNNNNNNNNNNNNNNNNNNNNNNNNNNNNNNNNNNNNNNNNNNNNNNNNNNNNNNNNNNNNNNNNNNNNNNNNNNNNNNNNNNNNNNNNNNNNNNNNNNNNNNNNNNNNNNNNNNNNNNNNNNNNNNNNNNNNNNNNNNNNNNNNNNNNNNNNNNNNNNNNNNNNNNNNNNNNNNNNNCAUAUCUUCUGUNCUUUUAGUAAACAGUAGAAGAAGAGCUGUGGUGCUACGAUGUCUAGCUGCGGCUCCGGAGCUUCUGCCAAGCACAAUUUGUUCGCGCUAGUUUUUCACAAUCUACUUGAUAACUUGAAGCAGAGCUCCUAACUCCCAAGAUCAUCUGUUCCCUGUUCUGCUACAUGGAGUCCACGCACCCAGCCCAUUCAAGUCCAGAAGCCCAUGCACGGAGCCUGUUCUCAAUUCAGCCCAUGCUCCAAGCCCAAGACCACACCACCUGGGCCCAGUACAGGGGGUGCAUCUCAGCAACAGAGGCCCAGCCCACCAGUUGAUCCUCGAAGUCCAGCUGCUUCAGUCCAGUAAAAGUCUGCGUGUGUAUGCCUACAAAAAAGAACUGUUGCUGGUAGGAAUCGAAGACGGGUCAAUUACAAAGCAGAUCUCAGGAGCCACCUACCAACCACUGGGCCAACUGAUUCUUUUGUUGAGGAAACGCAUCCAGUUUAACAAAAACUUGAGAAGUCAAGAGCCAAUUCAACACUCAACAGCAUUUCAGGGGAGUAUUCCUUUUAACCACUAUUGUGUAAUUAUAUUAUUAUAUUUAUAUAUUUCUAUCAUAUUUGUUCAUUGAGGACAAUGAACCACUUUAGUGUGGGGAUGGUUUCUCAAUGAUAAAAAAUUAUAUAUCAUAAAAUUCAAAAAAAUAGAAAAAUUAAAAAAAAAUUGUAUAUUGCCAUGUCUUAAAUUAGGAAAUUCAUGUUAGUUGCAUUAUAUUAGAGCUAGUUACUUAAUUUUGUAUGCCAUUUUUUAGUAGAUUUUUUUCUUCUUCUUUCUUUUAGGUUACAUAAUUCAUGAAAGUAUAUAAUACCGAGUUAAUUUCUCAUGAUGAGUUUAUUUGCAUAAUUAUUUGGCUAGUAGUCUUGAUCAUAUGUGAUGUCUUGCAUGCUUAGAAAUUGCUUGUGCGGAAAUUUUAAAUACACUAUAAAAUGCUCUAGAGACAAGACUGAGACUAACUUAAUUCUUGAGUUUUAUCUAUGAGUUGAGUGUAGAAUUUUGACUAUUCCCUUUUAAGCUUAGAGUAUGUAAAUCUUAAGUUUAGGGGAGUUUUAGGAUGUAUAUGCCUUUCUAGAAAAAUGAAAAAAAAAAUAGAAUAUUGCAAAUAAAGUAUCGAGUACUCCUUUGAGAUCAACGGGUGGUAAUAUUUGAAAGGGACGAUCCAUGUACUUGUGCUGGUAUUAAGUGCAAUUGUACUAGAAAUAAAUUUUCUUGGUGACUUUUCACAACCCUUGGUUACUGGAGAAUUACUUGACUUAAAAAAAAUAGAGAAAAAAAAUGAGCUAGCAAAGUCUUAUGGUGGUCGUAACUCACUUACCAUGAGAAGCUUCCCAACCUUUGACUGAGCAUGAAAAAAAAAAGUAGAAAAUAUAAGAGAGGCAUAGAAAUUCCUUUGCGACCCUGAGCUGUAGUUGACUCUAAUGUAACGAAGCGUUUAAGCAUUAUUCUGAUAAACGACUCAUGGUUAAGACUCUGUUGAACUUUGUUGGUGUCUGUUUUGUUUCAUUAGAGAGCAUGUUGAACACACACGAUUCACUCCGUACUUGCAGCGGAAAAGUUGCAUGACUAAUGUGUGAGAUAGAUGAAUGCCUUGAAUGUUGCUUAUUCUGAAGAUUAUUUGUUAACGAGGUUGAUGCUUUCAUGAUUGUAUUAUAUGCAUUUUCAUUUAGAUUGCAUUCAUAGUAGUUGCAUGUUUAAGACCGGUAGAAAAUAAUGAAUUUUGUGGGUAGAUUCGCUAUAAACCCUCACGAGACAAAACUCGUCCUACUAGGGCUGCCUAGAGGUUUAACGGCUUGUUGCAUGCGCUCAAUGCAAUCGUGUCAUCUACGAAAGUGGUGUUAGUUAGUUAGUUAGGAUAUUUUUAUUUCUUUUAUUUGCCCGAGGACGUGCAAAAGUUAAGUGUGGCGGAUGUUUGAUAGGGUAUAUAUUUACAUAUAUUCUAGAUGAUUUUAUUCUCAUAUUUAAUUGUAUUUUGCAUUGAAUUGGAUAUUUAUUUAAUAGAUUUUAAUGUUUUAUUGCAGGAAGCAAGGAGUUCCUAAACUUGGAGGAAAUUGGAAUAAAAAGCUUAAUUUGAAGAUUAAUUAGAAGGAAAUUCGGAUUUGUUGAAUUGCUUGCACUUGAAUCACUGUUUGGGCCAUAUCUUGAGUUCUAGAAAUCAGAAUUGGGUGAUCUUACAGCCCACGCGAAGCUUAGAGAAUUUUCUUUAAUUCAGAGAUGGUCCAAUAUCCAAAAUCCAACAGAAUCAGCCCAGGAAUAGGCAGAAAACAGAGCUACGAAUUUUCUUGAAGAAACCUAUUCUGUUUAGGAAACUGUUUUGUAUUUUCUUGUAAGUAUUAAAAUCAAAUAUAUUAGAGAGAGGGAUGGGUNNNNNNNNNNNNNNNNNNNNNNNNNNNNNNNNNNNNNNNNNNNNNNNNNNNNNNNNNNNNNNNNNNNNNNNNNNNNNNNNNNNNNNNNNNNNNNNNNNNNNNNNNNNNNNNNNNNNNNNNNNNNNNNNNNNNNNNNNNNNNNNNNNNNNNNNNNNNNNNNNNNNNNNNNNNNNNNNNNNNNNNNNNNNNNNNNNNNNNNNNNNNNNNNNNNNNNNNNNNNNNNNNNNNNNNNNNNNNNNNNNNNNNNNNNNNNNNNNNNNNNNNNNNNNNNNNNNNNNNNNNNNNNNNNNNNNNNNNNNNNNNNNNNNNNNNNNNNNNNNNNNNNNNNNNNNNNNNNNNNNNNNNNNNNNNNNNNNNNNNNNNNNNNNNNNNNNNNNNNNNNNNNNNNNNNNNNNNNNNNNNNNNNNNNNNNNNNNNNNNNNNNNNNNNNNNNNNNNNNNNNNNNNNNNNNNNNNNNNNNNNNNNNNNNNNNNNNNNNNNNNNNNNNNNNNNNNNNNNNNNNNNNNNNNNNNNNNNNNNNNNNNNNNNNNNNNNNNNNNNNNNNNNNNNNNNNNNNNNNNNNNNNNNNNNNNNNNNNNNNNNNNNNNNNNNNNNNNNNNNNNNNNNNNNNNNNNNNNNNNNNNNNNNNNNNNNNNNNNNNNNNNNNNNNNNNNNNNNNNNNNNNNNNNNNNNNNNNNNNNNNNNNNNNNNNNNNNNNNNNNNNNNNNNNNNNNNNNNNNNNNNNNNNNNNNNNNNNNNNNNNNNNNNNNNNNNNNNNNNNNNNNNNNNNNNNNNNNNNNNNNNNNNNNNNNNNNNNNNNNNNNNNNNNNNNNNNNNNNNNNNNNNNNNNNNNNNNNNNNNNNNNNNNNNNNNNNNNNNNNNNNNNNNNNNNNNNNNNNNNNNNNNNNNNNNNNNNNNNNNNNNNNNNNNNNNNNNNNNNNNNNNNNNNNNNNNNNNNNNNNNNNNNNNNNNNNNNNNNNNNNNNNNNNNNNNNNNNNNNNNNNNNNNNNNNNNNNNNNNNNNNNNNNNNNNNNNNNNNNNNNNNNNNNNNNNNNNNNNNNNNNNNNNNNNNNNNNNNNNNNNNNNNNNNNNNNNNNNNNNNNNNNNNNNNNNNNNNNNNNNNNNNNNNNNNNNNNNNNNNNNNNNNNNNNNNNNNNNNNNNNNNNNNNNNNNNNNNNNNNNNNNNNNNNNNNNNNNNNNNNNNNNNNNNNNNNNNNNNNNNNNNNNNNNNNNNNNNNNNNNNNNNNNNNNNNNNNNNNNNNNNNNNNNNNNNNNNNNNNNNNNNNNNNNNNNNNNNNNNNNNNNNNNNNNNNNNNNNNNNNNNNNNNNNNNNNNNNNNNNNNNNNNNNNNNNNNNNNNNNNNNNNNNNNNNNNNNNNNNNNNNNNNNNNNNNNNNNNNNNNNNNNNNNNNNNNNNNNNNNNNNNNNNNNNNNNNNNNNNNNNNNNNNNNNNNNNNNNNNNNNNNNNNNNNNNNNNNNNNNNNNNNNNNNNNNNNNNNNNNNNNNNNNNNNNNNNNNNNNNNNNNNNNNNNNNNNNNNNNNNNNNNNNNNNNNNNNNNNNNNNNNNNNNNNNNNNNNNNNNNNNNNNNNNNNNNNNNNNNNNNNNNNNNNNNNNNNNNNNNNNNNNNNNNNNNNNNNNNNNNNNNNNNNNNNNNNNNNNNNNNNNNNNNNNNNNNNNNNNNNNNNNNNNNNNNNNNNNNNNNNNNNNNNNNNNNNNNNNNNNNNNNNNNNNNNNNNNNNNNNNNNNNNNNNNNNNNNNNNNNNNNNNNNNNNNNNNNNNNNNNNNNNNNNNNNNNNNNNNNNNNNNNNNNNNNNNNNNNNNNNNNNNNNNNNNNNNNNNNNNNNNNNNNNNNNNNNNNNNNNNNNNNNNNNNNNNNNNNNNNNNNNNNNNNNNNNNNNNNNNNNNNNNNNNNNNNNNNNNNNNNNNNNNNNNNNNNNNNNNNNNNNNNNNNNNNNNNNNNNNNNNNNNNNNNNNNNNNNNNNNNNNNNNNNNNNNNNNNNNNNNNNNNNNNNNNNNNNNNNNNNNNNNNNNNNNNNNNNNNNNNNNNNNNNNNNNNNNNNNNNNNNNNNNNNNNNNNNNNNNNNNNNNNNNNNNNNNNNNNNNNNNNNNNNNNNNNNNNNNNNNNNNNNNNNNNNNNNNNNNNNNNNNNNNNNNNNNNNNNNNNNNNNNNNNNNNNNNNNNNNNNNNNNNNNNNNNNNNNNNNNNNNNNNNNNNNNNNNNNNNNNNNNNNNNNNNNNNNNNNNNNNNNNNNNNNNNNNNNNNNNNNNNNNNNNNNNNNNNNNNNNNNNNNNNNNNNNNNNNNNNNNNNNNNNNNNNNNNNNNNNNNNNNNNNNNNNNNNNNNNNNNNNNNNNNNNNNNNNNNNNNNNNNNNNNNNNNNNNNNNNNNNNNNNNNNNNNNNNNNNNNNNNNNNNNNNNNNNNNNNNNNNNNNNNNNNNNNNNNNNNNNNNNNNNNNNNNNNNNNNNNNNNNNNNNNNNNNNNNNNNNNNNNNNNNNNNNNNNNNNNNNNNNNNNNNNNNNNNNNNNNNNNNNNNNNNNNNNNNNNNNNNNNNNNNNNNNNNNNNNNNNNNNNNNNNNNNNNNNNNNNNNNNNNNNNNNNNNNNNNNNNNNNNNNNNNNNNNNNNNNNNNNNNNNNNNNNNNNNNNNNNNNNNNNNNNNNNNNNNAUGAUGUCAAAUUACUUAGUCUUUAAUGGUAUAUUUAUUAGAAUUAUGAAACUUAUUUUAAAAAAUUAUUUUGGACGAUCCAAACUGUAUGAAUGUUAUUUUAACAUGUUAAUAUUGAUUAAAAUUGUUUUUAAAAAAAAAUUAGUUGUAUUUUAUGUGUGAAUUUUUAGUCAAAUACGAUAAAAUAUUUAUUUAGCUUGUAAUGAAAUAUUAAAACCCUACUUCAAAAGAAACUUGUCUAAAACUACCUAUAAGUGUUAGAGAAUCAUCGAUUUAGUUAUCAAAUUAGUUAUCAUAAGGGUUUUACUCCGCUUUUCUCUGGUAUGAUGUUGAUUUUUGGGGUUUGAUUGGUCGAUUUUCAUGUUUUAUAAGUUAUGUGAGUUCGAUUUUGAUGUUUUUACAAUUAGGUUUAUGUAUGUUCUUAUACAGGUUUCAUGUUCAUGUUUUGAUUUGUUGAUUUCCUAUUUUUCAUAUUUUGUUGAUUAGUUAUUUGUGUGGGUUUUGAACUUUGAUGAGUGUGUAUGUAAUCUCCUGUUUUUUUUUCAUUUUUCUGGUUCGAACACUUCGAUUAGUAGCUGGAAAAACAGCUGAUGCGGCAGUAGCGGCUAGCGAGAUGGAUAACAAGAAAAGGAUGAUUUCGAGGUCAUCUCGUGCAAGUCUUCAGAUAUAGUUUUGUUCCUUUAUGUUUUUAAUUGACAUAAAUUUUCACAUUUGAUGAUUAUAUUAUGGGGGAUUCUGGGUAUACUUGUAUAUAAUCUAGCAAGUUAUUAUAAUUCUGGACGGGGGGCUUAUUGUGAAAUUAAAUUGAGGGAUAAGUUGUGUUAUUGGUUCUAGUGGAUUAAAUUUAUGUUGACACUUGAUAUAUGCAUUGAUGUCGUAAAAUAAGUUGCACAUCAAACUAUUUGGCUUGUUUAAGUUGUAUGGAGUAAGGCUGUACGCGGAUCGGAUCGGUUCGGUUGGAGGGUAAUAACCAAACCAAACCGCAACUUACGGUUUUCUAAAAUCUCAAACCGCGACCAUACUGUUGGUUAAAAAAACCCAACCAAAUCCAUCCACGUAAUUGCGGUUGGUUGCGGUUCAACCGCUAAAAUAGUUAUAACAAAGAAAAUAUAUAAGUUAUCGCUUAAAAUCUUGCAUAAAGUACAGGCUUUAACUCAAAAAUAUAUAAUUUAUCACUUAAAAUCUUGAAUAAAGUUAAUACAAUAAAUCUGAUUACAUAUUACAAAAGCAAACUAAUCCGGAAAUAUAUAACUUGAAGCAGAGCUUCAAGUUAAUGGUUAUUAAAAAUUUCAUCCGCGACCGCCCACAUUUUACGGUUAUCCAUAAUACACGGAUCGGUUGCAGGUGGUUGUUGCGGUUAAUGCGGUUGAGCGGAUUCAACGUACAGAGCCCUAUGAAGUAUGGUUGCCAAGCAUUGAUUGGUUGUACACGUAUAAACAAAAUGAUAUUUUAAUAUUUAAACAAAACAAUACAGUCAUAAACAGAUCGUGUCGGGCUGGACUGAUUGUGAUUUUCCUUUUUGGAACUCGUACUCGGCAUCUUCCAAGCGAAUGAUAUUUAGAAGUUUGUUGCUAGUAUACUCCAUGUCAUAAUAAGAGUUCUUUAGAUUUUUUAUAUGUAAUUCGAAGUAUAAAAAACAUAUUUUAACAUAUUAUUUUUAAAUUUUUUAUACAUAAAAAUAUAACAUCUAUAUUUUUAUUUAAAAAAAAAUUUGAAAUAUAAUAUAUGGAUGCAUGUCUUUUUUAUACGUGAAAUUACAUGUAAAAAAUUAAAAGACUCUUAUUUUGAGUAAGAGAGAAUAUGAUGUACCAUAAAGUCAUCGAUCUUUUGUUAUCAAAUAAAUGUGAUAUUUAAUUAUUUAAGAGCAAGUCCAAAAGUAUCUUAGUUAAAGUCCUAAAUAUAAUAUAAAAUAUUACGUUCCGGUGAUUUAGGAUAUAUUUUACUAACUUGGACUCCAACAAUGUGUCUUAUUCUCAUAAGAAGUUUAAUAUUUUAUUAUUAAAAACUCUCUUUCAUCAUUAAAGCAUAAUAUAAAAGUAGAGAGAGAAAAAAAGUGUUGAUAAGAAUUAAUAAUAAAAUAUGGGAUAGGGUAAGGAGAGAUGUGCCUCAAAAAUAGGGCUUGAGGAGGUUGUCCUAGUGAUAUAAGGGCAAGGAGAUCAACUUUUUACAUCAAAUGCCUUAAAUAACAAUUUAGGACAUAAUAUUGGGCAUCUGCUGGACUUGCUCUAAGUUGUUACUCCUUUAUUAGGUGUGGACACGGAGACGAAGAAGUAAAAGAUGAGUACAGUUAAAUGAAGAUGUGGUAAAAUAAUGUGACCCAUUUAUAUUUAAUAAUACAUUUGAAAUAGUGGAGGAAAGUAACGAGUGUAAUAACGUUUAUAUUAUUAUAGCAUAUAGAUAGCAGAAGAAAGCAAUGGGUAUAAAAGUGUAUUAUAUUAUUAAAAUUACUAUUUUUGAAAUGUUUAGAAAUAAUGGGGCAAUCAAAAAGAAAACUGUAUAAAAAUGGACGAGAGAAUACAAUUCAAGAAGUAAUAUAUCUCAAUUCAAACUAGGUAAUAUAUUUAUGAAUUAUAUUAAAAAAAAUUUGACAUUCAAAUAUAAAAAUUUAUUUUAUCAUCUUAACAAUGGAAUAUUCGAUUAUUAACUUUCGUAAAUAACAUUAAUUUUUCAUUAUAAUAUACUCUAAACUUUUAUUUUAUGUGCCUGUUUGUUUACAAGAAGCUGGAGUCCUACUUCUCUUGACUCGUUUGUGUAAAAACGUAAAAAGUGCUUUUAAAAAGUACUGAGAAGGAAAUGGAAGUAGAAAAUGCUAGUUUUUCUUUAUAAUAUCUAUUUCUUUUCUAGACACUUUAAUAAUUUAUAUAUAUUAAUUUAUUUCUCACUUAUACUCCAUUUUUUUAUAGAGAACUUCUUUUAAACUAAUCGGCUCCUAUAAUCAGUAGUUUCUCAAUUUUAACAGGAAUAAGAGCAUGUUUAUCUGAGCUUAAAGCCCGGGGUUUAUAUCAUCUCUGGCUUUAAGCUGAAAAAUGUAUGUUUGUGUAUUAAGUCGGAAGUCGGCUUAAAGUCGGAAAUAAGUCAAAAAUUGACCUAAAACCAGAAGUUAGUUUGAGAUACUUUUCUCGGUGACUAAUUUUUUUUUUAGCCAUUUUUUGAUAAAAAUUAUUCUUAAAUCACAAAUUACUCAUAAAUCACUUUUAUUAUUAUUAUUACUAUAUUUUUAAUAACUUAUAAGUUAUUAAUAAAUCAAAAUUAAUCAAACAAAUAUUUUAAGUUCUCAUAAGAGUUUAUGAGAUAAGUAACGUUAAGUCAUGAAUCAACUGAACGGGAUGUAAGUCUUCUUCUCCCCGAGUCAUCAGCAGACUUUUUCCAUGUCUUCUGAGCCCCCAUUGGCUCACAAUUGGCCCAAAAAAUAUUUGGUUAUGCAUUGCUAUUCACACACUUAGACAUCAAAAUUUAUCAUCCGACAGGCGACAGCUAACUGCACACUAUUUUUCCCACAAGCUGAAAAAUCAACGAUCAAUUAAUUUUUCUUAUCAAUUAAUAAAGUUAUGAUUUCACGUACACGGCAGGCAAAAUGCUAAUAAAUAGACGAGUGCAGUAUAGUAUGGGUUCAUGAUCACCUUGAGAUUUAAUUGAAAAAUAUUAUGGUGAUAUAGAUUAAAUUAAAUUAUAAUAUCUUGAAAAGUUAUAAAUAAUUUUAAUUACUAAUAAUAUUUAUUUGUACAUUUAAAUAUUUUUAUAAAAACACAAAAAUAGCAUUAUACUCAUUUAAGUUUCUCGUAUCCGCCUCUCUUCUUGGAGAUUGUGGAUUUGCGAUAUUUAUAUUGAUUAUUAUAGGAAAAUGUUAUUUCCAGAGCAAACAUUUUUAUUUCCGGAGCAAAUUCAAACAAAUUUUUCCAAAUUGUUCUGGAAAUUAAAAUAUUGAUAUGGAUAUAACAAUUCCCUUAUUAUAUCCUAUGUAUAUUACAUUAAUGCAAUUAACAUGGUUGAUUGUUUUAGUAUAUAAUCAUAUUACUGUGACCUUUUAGUAUAUAAUUAUAUUAUUUUUGUUAUAUUUUAUGCAUCUAGAAACAAUUUUUUUAUGAUAUUUAUUAUAUUAAUUAUAGUAAAAGAUAUAAUUUUGUUUAAAAAAUUGAAUAAAACUAAGAGGGAUAGCCUACGUCUCUCCGAGUCUUCGAGGACUCAUUCCAAGUCCGAGAGGACCACAGCCUCAACCUUUAAGAGAUGUGAAAGUAGCUUGAGAGUGAUAUAAAUUUAUUUUUGACAAUAAAAUUUAAUAAUCAAAUAAAUUAAAUUAAAUUAAACUAGUUUAUAAUCGAUUAAAAAUAUAUAAAUCAAAAUUAUUCCCGAAUUAUGAUAACAAUUAAAAUCAUUUUAAAAGUUGCAUAAAUCAAAUCCAAAUCGAACAAAUUCCCCUAACACUAAAAUGUAGUUGCUUUAUUGUAGAUAAAAACAGUAUAAUAAUAGUAUUGAUGAAAAAUCAAAUUCAUCAAAUAAGUUUAUAAAAAAUACAUGAUUUUAAUUUUAAAAAAAAAACAUGAUUUUAGUGUGUUGUAUUAGUAGUGUGUCCACGCAUUUAUAUAUUAAAAUCUAUCCUCUAAAAACUAUCGAUCUAUUUACACAACUAUUGAUCUGUCGUGCAACAAAUUCCAGGGCGAAGUUCCAAAGAGAGCUUAAAUGGCUUGCAUUGCUCAAUCUAUCUCAUAAUAGUCUUAACGACAUAUGUUUUGAAUUAUUAUUAUGAUUUCAACAAUAUUUUCAAACAUUUCUUAAUAUGUAUUUUCAAAGAAUUCUCAAGCACUUGAACAUUUGGACCGGUUCUUUCGAAGCCAGGCAAUGCACAAAAAUGUCCAAAAAUGAAUAAAUUAAGAGAGAGUAGCUCACCCUUUCAAAGCCUUCCAGGACUCAUUCCAAGUCUUCGGAGGACCACUGCCUCCCCCUUUCAAAGAUGUGAUAGUAGCUCGAGAGUGAUAUAAAUUAUUUUCCCGACAUUAAAAAUAAAAAAUCAGAUUAAAUUAAUCAAUAAUAACUUAAGGAUGAAAUCCAAAUUAAUCCUAAAUUUUGAUAAUAUAUAAAAAUUAUAAUUAUAAAUUAUAUAACCAAAUCAGAAUUGAAUUAACUUACUUGGCACUAGAAUUGCUAAAGACAGUAUAAUAAUUUAAUUGAUGAAAAGUCAAAGUCUUCUAAUAAAUCCAUAAAGAAUAUGAUAAUAUGAAAAUUAUAAUUGAAAAAUCAAAAUCAAUAGUGUAUUGGAAUAGUGUUCACACACUUAUAUAUCAAAAUUUGUGGUCCAAAAACUAUAGCACAAUAUCCUAAAUACAUCACAUUAAAUAAUAGCACAAAAAUAUUCAAUAAAUAAUUGAUUUCAUUCAUAAAUUUGUUAUUUUAAAAACUAAUAAUUUGGUUGAUGUUAACCUAUAUUUUAUAUAUAAUUUCGUCUUAUUUUAUUUUACUAGAAACAAUAUUUUUAUAAUAUUUAUUACAUUAAAUAUAUUAAAAGAUAUAAUUUUAUUAAAAAAAUUGAAUAAAAUUAAAAGGAUAAGUCUCGGCCUCUCCAAGUCUACAAGACUCAUUUCACUACAAGAAAAAUGCAUAAAAGCGACCACCUAAAUGCGUGAAUGAAAAAAUAAUUUUAGAAAAACGAAAAUAAUCAUUCGUGACAAGACUAGUUAAAAAUAAUUGUUUAAUUUUUUUGACCAUUAUGAGAAGACACUAUUAAGUCGUUAUUUUUUAUUUCUUCACAUAAUUAAAAUCAACACAUAUUAAGAUAUUUAUGAUUGAAUGGUGAAAAAAAUAAAUCAAAUAUCAUAGAUCACAAGACUAGUUAUUUAAAAUUUUUUAAUUAAUCUUUACUAUUAUAAAAAUAUAUAAAUAAAUAUUUAUUUUUAUUUCUCCACAUCACAAAAAUAAACUCAUGUUAACAUUUAUGUGUGACUCGUGAACUUUUUUAUAAAAAUCAUAAAAUAAUUAAUACUGGCAAAAGCGACCGGCUAUAAAAUGGUAGCUUUUGUUUUUAUAUUUUUUUACUUCUCUUAGGCGGGAAAAUUCCCGCUCAAACACAUGAAAGUUAAAAGCGACCGCUAGACUUAGCCGGUUGCUUUUAUAUUUAAAAGCCACCAAACAAAAGCGACCCCUCGUAAAAGCCACCAAACAAAAGCGACCGCCAAUAAAAGCUACCAAACACGGUCGCUUUUGUUUAUCAGUCAAAUCAAAUUUCUAUUUUGAGUAAAAGCCACCGCUUUCGGUGGCUUUUAUACUUGGUCGCUUUUGUUUGGUGGCUUUUAGUGUUUUUUCUUGUAGUGUUUCAAGUCCACCGAGGGCCUCAACCAUUGAGAGAUGUGAAAGUAGCUUGAGAGUGAUAUAAAUUAUUUUCAUGACAAUAUAAUUUAAUAUCCAAUAUAAAUUAAUUAAAUUAGUUAAUAAUGAAUCAAGACUAAUCAUGAAUUAUGAUAAUAAUUAAAUAAAUUAUAAAAUUAAAUUAUACAAAUAACACUAAACCUUAGUUACUUUAUUGGUAAAAUAAAUAUAAUAUAAUAAUUAAAUUGAUGAAAAAUCAAAAUCAUCUAAUAAAUUCACAAAAAAUAUAUGAUCAUUAGUAUAUUAUAUUAGUAUCCACACACUUAUAUUUCAAAAUCUAUCCUACAAAAUUAUCAUCUCUGUAAACUAGCCACAAAAAAUAAAAAUUUAAAGAUAUUAGAUAUUUAGUUAUUUUCAUUAUAUAAUUUUUCCACACUAAAUAACAAAAUAUCUUUAUCAAAUUAUUAUUUAUGAAUUAAAUAUUCAAGUUAUAAAUUGAAGUGUGCAGUAUGAUAUCAGAUUCACAUAACCCAGUUGAUCAGGAGAAACAUGGCCUACUCUGCAAAGCCUUCUCACCUUCUUCUCUUUGUUUUCUUUCUCUCAUCACUUGAAUGCAUUCUUGCAACAACACGAGAAGGAGAAGCUCUUGUGAAGUGGAAGAAUAGCCUAGCCCCUUCUUCUUUUCUCGACUCUUGGUCACUCACCAAUCUCGAUAAUCUUUGUAAUUGGACUGGCAUUACUUGUAACUCUGCAGGUUCAGUCUCUAAGAUUAACCUUUUUGAGAAACAACUUGAUGGAAUGUUGUCCGAGUUUGGUUUCACUUCAUUUCCAAAUCUCAACAAUCUCACCC